rnacentral:lncRNA from 1 species
GGGUCAGAGGGGGUCUCCUUAUAUAGUCCUCCCCUUCUAUGCGUUUUUGGGUCGAUAGGCGAGGUGGUACUAUGUUAUUCUGGAUCCAAUAGGUCGGUGGAACGUCGUGUGCGAAGAGAGUCCGGAACGGGGUCCAGAGGUGGGCGGGCGCCCAGGUCCUCAGGGCGGGCGCCCUGGGCCUGGCCCCUUUCGGGCUCCGCUUCCUUCCCGUGGCUUCUGGAGUCUUCUAGAUGGUAGAAAAUUGCGCGGUGGGUUGAUAUCUCUAUGUAAUCCCAACAUGUGGACCUUUCUUCCUUAUUUCCUGAUAACCCCCUGCAGAAAUAGACAAACACCAAAACUCAUGGAAUUCUAUCAGAUAAAACCCUAAGUCUAGAUGUUGAUUUCAUUUGGAUCCUUUUCUUUGUUUAUUUGAUAAUUAAAAUUGAUACUUAAGGACCGUCAACAAACUCCCCCAAGCUUACCUCUUGCUCGUCCCUGAGCAAGGAUGAACUCAAGAGUUCCUGCAGUGGUUUCAUUUCUUAGAAGUACACACGCAUUUAAGCAAGAUCUCAUCUCUGAGUUAGAAUAAACUGUUAAGACUUAAAACUUACUUACUUUACCUACACCAUAGGACUUGUAACCGUCACUUCUGUCUUGAGUGGUUAAAAGAUAGAACAGUCUAGCCAAGUGCCAUGUCUCUUAUUCUUGAUCAGCUAUAGCUCUGGGGUUUUUGCAGAUUUUCAAAUGAAACUCAGAAAUUCCUUGUAUGAUUCUCUCAGGUCUCUCUUUUGUGGUAUUUUUGGAUCCUUUCCAAGGCAGUGAUGGUAUAUGCCUUCUCUCAAGAUAUGUAGUAUUUGUGGUAUGAAGUAUAGUGACAUUGUCUUCUCUCUCACCCUACUCUAAUAAGGCUUUAAUAUCUGGAGCUCAUAGGUGGGAGAUAAAGUAUACAUACUUACAAGACAUUUAUUGCAUAGUCAAACCAUGGAUCCAAAGAAACAAAUCAAUAAGCCAAAUCAAGAUGUGCAUGUGUGGCGAAUGAAUGGUGUAUGGUGAUGAUGGUGAUAACAAUGGUGGUGGAAGUCUAAUUCUACUUUGCUCUUUGAGGGGAUACAUACCUUCCUUGCUUUUGAAACUUUAUGAGGAGAAUGAGAUGCUCUUCUUUUUCUUUUCUUUUGACGUUCUGAGCACUUGCUCCUUUUUAUUUCCUCGUAUCUUUUAUUUUCUUUUUCUCUUUUUUUUAGAGGAUUCAUCUCUUGAGAUAAUAUAGCAAGUGGUAGUAACAAGAUAACUUGAGCAUUUAUUUCACAAGGGGAAACAAAAAUAUUUUUGGUUAUUCUCUCCCGGAUUAGGAGUAAAAUAUUUUUAGGUGAUUCUGGAGACGGAAAUGAGUGGAUAUAUGUGGAUGGUACUUCCAGAGUAGAAGUAGCAUAUAUGAGUGGACGUGCAAGUGAAAUCUUGAUUUAACCACAUGACAAGCUCCUAAGGGUCUACACAGCUUGACCACACUCAAUGCUCAUAAGCACUAAAUAAUAAAUGUGUGGCUCAAGGUCUAGCAAGCAUGUAUAUAUGGCUGUGGUAGGAAUUUAAACUCUCAUCAUAUAGGAACUCAUCAUGCAACAUUUUAAAAAAUUUCAAAGAUAAAAUUCUCCAGAAUUCUAGCAUCUCUAGGAACAGAUGCAGCUCAACCUUCCCAUAUCGUAUCCGUUAACAACUUAGACUUCAGAUCAAGUUUUCAUCCCACAAGUUUAGGUCUAGAGCAAGCCUUAAAUUAUAACAGUUAUAUCUAAACUUGAGAGAGAACUUCAAAUUUGCAAAUUAGGCAGAGCAACUAUUCAUCAUAUCCAUGCUUAAGUUUUAUUAGAUACAGAUUAGCAUAGCCACUUUAUUUAUUUAUUAAACACACUAAGCAAAAUAUAUAUAAGCAUAAAAUCUUUAUUUGGUUUUUCAUAGUUAUGUGUGUUUAUAUUCUAAUAUAGUAUAAGUAUAAAGAUAGAUAGAAAUACUUAUCGAGAUAAAUGGGGGUGCUCUCCCCCAAGCUGAAUUUUGACGUAAUUUCCCUUGAUGUAGCUAGCAGGUGGCAGAGGUGUGUUUGAAAGUCAGCAGUAUUUUGACAGCGAUUUCUCCGUCUGCUAGUCUUCUUGAUUCUUAAAUUCUGUAGAGCUCAAAUAGACAACAAAGCUUGUGGAACUGAUUAAGUGUUAGCAUAAAUAUCUAGCCUUUGUCAUGUUGAGACUCCUUAAUAAAUAUUACUCCCUGUUUUUAUAUUUUUGUUUUUAUAAAGCAGAAAAAUAUUUAUUUUAUUUUUAUGCCACCACAGUGAAUGUACUUAUGGGUUUUAUGCCACUCGUCUACUCACAUGGGGCUUACAGUUUUUUUCACAUUUUUAUUUUCUUUCUAGGAUAAUACGAACAUGAUUAACUAAGUAAACUAUUUGAAAUAAUCAAAAGGGAAAGGAUAACUACCAAGUUUACCUCUUGGCAAGGCGUUCGGUGUUUUUAAGUCCUCCGAAUGGGACUCUCCAUUUUCUUAAUCGUCCUGAGGUUCGUUGGGUGGCGUAGUCGCUACUUCCGGCAGCGCCUCCUCUUCAUUUAUAGUUAUCUUCAUUUUCCAUACCUGACUCGGUGUUACGGUCUCCUCAGGACAGUUCUGUUCAAGUUGUAUGUCUUCAGUCCUUAUCACUUCUCCUUCGUAGUCUACCCAUCCGUCCUUGAUGAUUUGCCUCCUCUGGUUGCGGUUGCGUUGUCUUCUUCUUAUCCUAACCUGCUUAGAAUCUUCAAAUAUAUAAUCAUUAAAGUAGUGGCGUACCUUUCUCAGAGGGAAAGUGCAUGUGGACUUCUUCGGUUCCAAUAUAGAUAAUGGCUUUGAUAGUGUUUAGGAACGGUCUUCCAAGGAUGGUGGAUGGAUCAUACUCGUCUUCUCCCAUGUCAAUGACCUGAAAAUUGUUUGAAGCUGAAUCUAUCUUGGUUGUAGGGGCAUGGUUCUAUGCAGGAGCUAAUAAGUGACUGCGGCCAUUAUGUUGUCGUCAGAUCUGGUGUCGUAGAGUGUCUUCUAAAAAGAGUAUCCAUUGUUUGUGCAUUCGAUUCUUGGAACACCAGGGUCGUCCUUCUUGAUCAAGAAAGGUGACUUGAGUCGACGAUCUUGACCUCCUUGAGCUGCAGUGACCAUCUUAGCUGACUCGGUCCACAUUUGCUUGUUCCUGUUCCUCCUGUUGGUCCUCUUCCUUGGUUCAUGUCGGGAUUGCUCUGAAGUUUGUGUAGUCUUGUUCUUGAAGGAAAAUCUCCUUCUUCCCCUUGAUGUAGAGACUGAUCUUGGCAGCAUUAGCGUAGAUGACAAUUCUGGUGUUUAGGAAUGGCCUCCCUAAGAUGAUGGGUGCCCUCUCCUCAGUCCCAGUCUCUAUCACCACGAAGUUUGCUGGAGUGUACAAGGUACCAACUCGGACACAGAGGUUCUUCAAUAUUCCUUUGGGAAACUAAGUGUCUGAUCUCCAUUGUGUUUGUGCUCGUAGAUCCCGGUUCUUCACUUGAUGGAAUCUGGGAGUUGUAAAACGCCUUCACGUUUCUCAAAAUGUGUCCUGCUCAUAGAGACAAGGCAGAGAUCAAGUGCAUGGGCCCUGUUGGUGGAAAACACUAACAAAACCAAAAGUGUAUUUGUUCUUCUCUAACCUUAAGCAUAGUGAGCAAGACAAAGUUGAUGGAUCAUGAGUGUAGCAUUUAAAACAUUUGUUAGAUCAGAUGGCUCAACCUAAUGGAAAGAUAAUCUAUCUAUAUUUAUGUUUUGUUUAUAUCUUCCAAAGAUUGAAUGUGCAACACUUUAGCUUAUAUGAUUAGGAGUGUGGGAUCACGAAGGUAGUACUAAGAACAAAGAUUAAAGGACUAAUCAUGUUGAAUUAAUUGGGUUGAUUAAUUUGGAGCUACAAAUCAUACAUGUUUGUCUCUUUAUUUAUGUGAAUGCUAGAACCAAGGAGAAGCUUAUAAAAGUCAUAGUCAAGUACCUUAAAAUGUUACCUUACUUGAAGAGUGACGGUACAGUAUCACCAUGUGGAAGCUUUCCUUUUCUUAGCGGUUGUGCAUCGUGUUUGUGGCACCCUCCAGGGAUCAUCUCUUUAUGAUGAAUGAGCUAUGUCCUUCUUGUGUAAAUUGUUAAACUUCAUGUGUCUCCUUUAUCGCCAAUGAGUUUGUAUCUCAGGACUUCCCAGGUUGAUAUUGAAAGUUUUCCUGCAGGGGUUAGUCCAACAAAAUAUCCCAUAUCUACUAUAGCAUACUAUCGGCUCAAAAAUCAACCUAGACACCAUGUCUAAUUUGAUUUAGGAGGGCAUUUUAACCUAAGCACCAUGCUUAAUUUAAAAAAAUCCUUUGGAAGUAAGAUCAUCAUUCCUAAACUAAGCACCAUGCUUGAUUUAAGAGAUAAAUGAAACUACUCCAAACAUAGACAUAUACUAAAGCAAAUAAAGGUAGCAUGAGAGCAUUUAUAGCGAUCUACUCAAGUGAAGGUGAAGUAGUGUAAUUAGUACUUAACAAAUUGAGCAUCUCUCAAAGGUAGGGACAACCAACGUAGCAACAUGGCAAAGGAUGUUUUUAUGUAAAGUACUCCCCCAAGCUUGAAUUUUGUAAAAUUCAAGUUUGGAUGAAUUUAAUUCAAUGUUGUGUGAUGGUUGGUUGGACAUACCUUGUGCUUGUCAUUCAUCCGAUCUUCUUACUCCAAUCCUGGAAAGGUUAGUGACAAGAAUACCCGAAGGAAUAUUUCUACAAUAUGCUCAAUACACAAGGCAAUGUUGCAAAUAAUUAGAAGUUCAUGUUAUGAUCUCUGAUAAGUGCUUGUUUUAGGACGCUAAGCUUAUCCUUGGGAAACCAUCAAGUUAUGUUUGUGAAGUGGUUUCCCCUCCAACACCAACCUAUAUCAAGAUCAACUCAACGAGAUCUGCAAUAUUUAUUAUAGACAUAUGCAUCGACAACCGCCCUUUUAAAGUUUUUAUAAAUAGAAAGGAAGAGAGGAUUGGAGAUCUCAAAUAUGGUAAGGAUGGAGAGAUAAAUUGAUUGGAGAGAUGUUUUAUAUGAGCAAGGACUGGGUGAGGUAUUUAUGAAAUAACUUCCAUGCUCACUGUUGUUUCUCUCAUUCUCAAACUCCAAGGAUGAUUCUUCAUGAAUGCUUAAAAUUCCUCUAGGAUUGUCUCUCAAGUUUGUUUUAUCUAUCCAUUCAAUGGUGAUAGCACAUGGAUUUUUAAUGCCCUCUAGCCAUUGAUGUUGCUCUUCUCGAUCCUCCUUAUACAGGGGAUGUCUAGAGAAAUUCAUAGGAUUAUCGGGAGGUUUAAGAGAAAGAGCAUAGUAGAAUUUAUUAAGCUCAAGGAUGGGAUGGAUAGCCGAAUCAUGGGAUUGAAAUGUUUGGAAAUCAGCUAUUGAAACUUCCUUUCCUCGUCUGGGAGAUGAUUCCUUCUCUAUUUCUAAGAUUUUUCUAUGAAGACUAGUACAAGAAGGAUGUCCACAAGUGAAGACAUACCUUCCUUUACUAAUAGAUAAAGAAAGAAGGACUCUACCAAAGGUUAUAUGAUUAAGACCAAUGUGAAAAUAUCUAGGAAAAACAUGGUCUUGUAGGGCUAGGUCUAAACCAGAAUUUAUAGAAAGAUUAAUAGAUUCCCUAGGUGUAGCUAAAAGUGCAUUAUCUUUUUGAUUAAAAGAUAGGACCUCAGCUAUAGAAAAGGGUUGGUUUUGACCUAUUGCAAUCAACUCCGGACACAGAUCAUAAUUAGGGGCAGGACGUGUUGACUCCCAUGGUCUAUGGCUGGUCUCCGAAGGUGCAAAGAAUUCAAUAAUAGGUAUGGAAUUUGAGUUAUCCAUAAAGAUUAAAAUAAAAAGAUAAAAGAAUAAAAGUAUAAAGGUAUAAUACAAGAUAAUAGCAAGACUCAAAGUUAUCUCAGCAAACCGUCUUUCUCCCCGGCAACGGCGCCAGAAAUGCUUGUUGAUAUUUGGUAACGCAAUUAGAAAAUGAUCCGCAAGCGCACGGAUAUCGGUGAGCAUUUCACCCGGGAGGUUAUCCAGAGUAUCGUAUUUAUAUUUUUACCACUGGGAGAAAGGGUGCAUCUGACUAACCAAAUCUAUUGCUACUAUCCAUUUAGCCUACAAAGAAUGUCUCUCGAUGUGAGUGAUGUAUAGAGAAGACUGCAACCGUAGUCUCGUUCUAACCUUGGUAAGGAUGAUCUAUUGUUCUAUUGGGGAGGCUCACGGAAUCUAGACAACACAAAGGAUGUUCGACCCGCACCUAUAAACCUACCCGUCCUGCUAACGAGAUGUGAUCUGCAAAGGUAACUCGGAAAUGUCACGUUCCUCGCUACUACCACGGUCCAGCUAGUCAGGGGAUAUCUAUGAGUACCCUAGCCUAAACACCACGUUUACGCUAGCAAGUGAUUACUCUAAUACUCAACCGGAAGAGGAUUAAAGUAAACUCAUAAACCAAAGAACAAUAAAACAAGAACUUACUAGUAUGAGAAGUCGAAUUACUGAAGAAUCUUAGAAGCAAGCCUCGGGUUUGAAGACUUGAUCCCGUAGGUACAACUCGGAGUAGACACCGACAGGCCGGCCUUCCUCCGAUCCACACCUCCACUCUAUCUCUCUCAAUCUAGUAGAAACUAGAAGAUCUAUUUCUACUUUACAUUUGUUGCUAAGCCUAAAAAGAAAUAUUAUUUAGAGAAGAGGUUUUCCUUCGAGGGCACCCCUCAAUCUCUAUGAUAAUUUCUUGUCUCCUCCAGGGGUCAGAGGGGGUCUCCUUAUAUAGUCCUCCCAUUCUAUGCGUUUUUAGGUCGAUAGGCGAGGUGGUACUAUGUUAUUCUGGACCCAAUAGGUCGGUGGAACGUCGUGUGCGAAGAGAGUCCGGAACGGGGUCUAGAGGUGGGCGGGCGCCCAGGUCCUCAGGGCGGGCGCCCUGGGCCUGGCCCCUUUCGGGCUCCGCUUCCUUCCCGUGGCUUCUGGAGUCUUCUAGAUGGUAGAAAAUUGCGCGGUGGGUUGAUAUCUCUAUGUAAUCCCGACAUGUGGGCCUUUCUUCCUUAUUUCCUGAUAACCCCCUGCAGAAAUAGACAAACACCAAAACUCGUGGAAUUCUGUCAGAUAAAACCCUAAGUCUAGAUGUUGAUUUCAUUUGGAUCCUUUUAUUUGUUUUUUUGAUAAUUAAAUUUGAUACUUAAGGACCGUCAACAGUAACUACUGGAGUAACUGUAACACCCCAGUGUUAUGGUUACAUCAAACAUGUGCAUAGCAUGAGCAUCAUCUUUUAUUCAAGCAUCCAUGAUCAUCAUCUAUCUUGGGGCAUGUCAUCCUUUGCAAAAAUGUGUUUUAAAUGGCUUAAAUAGGCUUUCUAUGCUUAUGUUUGAGUGAACAAUGCUUGUGUUUGUGCUUAAUGCCUUGGUAAAUAGCUUAUCUAUGCUUAACUUAAUCUUGGGAACAAUGUUCAUGUUGAUCACUUCUCCAAAAUAAUCACUUAAGUCAUACUUAUUCAAAUAGACCCUAGAAACCUCUUUUACUUAGGCUUUUAAAAAGUGUUUCAUAAAAUGUUUGCAUGUCAAAACUUCCUACAGCAAAGUUAUAGCAAAUUUUAUAAGGAACAAAAGUUGUUUUAUGGCCAUCUCAUGAAAAUGAUCACAAAUAGCUCAAAAGUGGCCCACAAGGCAGAUUUGGGGGCUGUUUUCCACACUUAGAAAUUUUCUAAGUCCCCGGGUGGUUUGCAGUUUGCGUGAUCGAUUUUGGAAACUCUAUAUCUUUCAAUCCAGGCCGAUCUAGUCUUUGCUCUAGUUGACAAAGUUGUAGAUCUCGUCUAAUACUCCAAGUUUGUCAACUACGCCAUCUCCUAAUUCGCUCUGGUUUGGGAGAUAAUCACCGGUGAAGUCGCUCUGUCAGUCGGUCGAUGCACUGUCUGAAUCGACUUGGACCUCGUCGACGUGGCCGACCGCCGGCAGCGCUCCGUCGCCAUUUGGCGCCCGUACGCCGUUCCUGGCCCCGCUUGUCAGCUCUCGUCGCGUGCAUGACCACCACGGCGUCGCCCCGAGCGCGUGGACGCGUCCAUUUCGCUCUGCCUCGCCCUCUCUCGCCUGAACCUCGCCCGCAGCGAGCUCUCCGCCGCGAGCUCACUCCGGCGAGCUCGUGUGCGCUCCUCUCUGCGUCCCCGUCCACCAAACUCCACCCAAAGCUCCGCCGUGAGCCGCUCUCCAAGCUCCACCCUCUAACUCGCCGAGAAACCCACCGGUGAGCCGACAUUUCUUUCUUCCCCCAAAUCGGUCCGCCGUGACCCUCUUCUCCGGCGAACUCAAUGCCGAGCGCUGUGGGGCUUCUCAUCGUCCUUGGUUAGGUCCUAGAGGUAGCUUAGGUCCUUAGCGAGCUUUUGCGCCACCUGGUGGACGCUCUACCGGGUUCUCCGUCGCCGGACACGGUGCGCAGCGCCGCCGUGCUUCCGCCGGAGUUGGGUCCUCUCGUGGCCAGCGCUUUCCACGGGGAUCCAGGCCAAGCCGUGUACCUAGGGAGCUUCGCCUUAGUCUGCUGGUGCUGUAGAAGGCCUUAGGUCACGCUCUACCGGCCUGAGGACUCCGGCGUAACGCCGAGCACCUCCGCCGAGCCGCCAUUGUCGACGGUGAGCUCCUUCCGGUGGCUCCGCCGUGGCAAAAGUAGGGUCAAUCGAGUCGUUAGGGUUUGGGGAUCACGUUGAUGCCCUGGGUUUGGCCGGAGACCUCGCCGUCGCGGAGAAAUCGCCGGCGAAGAUCGCCUCGGCCGUGAGGAAGAAGAGCCUGACGGGUGGGACCCCCUGUCAGCGACUCUCUCUUUCCCUCCUUUUCUUUUAUUCAAAAUCCUGAUUUUUGGCUUUCUUGCAAAAAUCAUAUCUCCUGUUUCUGAGAUCCAAAAAUUGUGAAACAAAUUUUGUGUUGUUUCUUGAGAUGGCUAGUAUUUAAUAAAAAUAUAAAAUGAAUCAUGUUUUCUGAGAAAUUAUUUAUUAAGGAUUUAAUCUUGUUAUUCAUGGAUAAAUGCAUAUCUCUGGUUUUACUGAUUAGUUUGCUCUGAAAUUUUUAUAGUGGUCUUUGCAUGGCAUUAGGGUGCUCUGAUAAAUAUUUCAUGAUUUUUGGAGCACUGGAGUGGUGAUAUGUAAUUUGUGUUUGAAAUAUGGCUUGUUUCUUUAAUUAAAUCACAUAAAAUAAUUGGUGCUUAUGCUGGUGCUCUAUUUUGGUGGUAAACUUGUUUAUGGUAUUCCUAAGAUGUAAAUAAUCUGAAAUCUGUUGUUUGACAUUAUAUAAGUCAUGUUUAUGAAUUUAUGAAAUAAAUGCCUUGAUACAUGUUAAAUGCAUAUCUUUAAUUUGGCAUGUGCAUUGGUCCUGAAAAUUUUAUGGUGGUAAUCUGAUGUUAUACUUGUGCCUCUGUAAUUUUUGUAGAUUUUUCUGAGCACUUGAACUAAUAUCUUGUAAAUAUGCCUUACCUAAAAUUAAUUAAUAAAUGCCUUGUGAAGUAAUUGUGUUGGGGUUUUCAACUGAUGAUCUGGUGACCUUGUAUUAUGUUUGUGCUCAUGAGUCAUAUGGUUGGCCUAGUUUAUGUUUUGAUCAUGUCAUUAAAUAAUUAACUAUAGGGUUAAAUGCUGUCUGGACAGCAAGUGAAUAAUUUAACUUUGCUUAAUGAUAAGUUGACUUUCUGUGAAACUUAUAUAAAACAAAGUUGUUCUAAACUUGUUGAACUAACUGUGGUUUAAAUUUGAGGUCAUUUGGCCAAGUAGUUUAAAAGUUACAGCUGUUCCUAGUUAGGUUCCAGAAAUAGGGGUUCUCUGUUUUUCUGGAACAGGAUCUGGAACUUUGUUAAAAAGACUAAUUUAAUGUUUGAAUCUUACUGUCAUGUUUAAAGAUGAGUUGUAGACAAUUUCCUAAGCUUUCCAGAAUGUCCUCACUCAUGUUUGUUGGACCUGUCUAUCUAUACUUAUGAUUUAUUUACUGAGCAUACUUGUUUUAUGUUGCUUGCUGCUUUAGUGACAUGAUAGGUUUUGGGUUAUGUUAACUUGUUUAUUCAUGUGAGUUAGUAUAACUCUUGUUCCGUAAAUGAGUGUCCAGUGAGUUGCUUGUGUUGUUAAGCAUUCAUCUGUAGCAUGUGCACUUUCUCAUUCAUCGAGCAUGCAAUAGGUGCACCGGACGUGGCAGUUUCCUUCGAGCUCCAAGCGAACCCCGAAGGCCAGGAAGGCAGCCAGGAGGUGGAGGUCCAGCAAGUCGGACUCGAGGAGCCCGAAGAAGAGGUUGAGUGCCCAAGUCACGAGCCGGCAUCGUUCGUGAAAGGCAAGCCCCGGAGCAUUUUAAGCCUCCUCUAUUUUCGAAAGUUUACUUAAUACGUUAUAUCUAUUGAUGCAUUACGUAUAGGAGUUGUGAUGAAACUGUUGCUGCAUCCUACUCUAUCCUUGUCCAGAUAACUUACCCUCCCUGGUUGUAGAGUUAGGAUCGAGUAGCAGCUUAGUUAUGCUUUAACCGGUAGAAGUCGGGUGAUAUCCUGUCAUCCGCGCGAUAUAGGGUUGUGUCGGAUCACGAUGGUCUAUAUGUGCUAUCGUGGAUGGAACCUGAUCAAAUUGACUUAAGCCGGGCGGAGUUUUGCAAGUGUGUAGUAACUCCGUCUGUGGCAGCUAAGGACCGAUCGUUGUACGUCCUCUUGUCAUGUUGAACGCAUGCCUGACACUUAGUUGGCCGGAUAACUCGUUCCGACCGCGAAGCCGAGUAGUAUGACUCAGGCCGGAAGACCGGCAAGUAUAAAGUGCGCACUACCGGAGGAAGUGCGGUGUGCGGGGGACCAUUGGCGUAAGCCCAAAGGCAGGUGAGUUAAAAUUCCUGACCUCCCUGGCAGAGUGGUAGCCCUGGGAGUGCGGCGCUGAUCGGAGCCGCGAUUCCUGAGUUGUACCAAAGGUAACCCGUUGGCUCUCCGGCAGGGGAUGCUUGGGUGAGUGCUAGGAGUAAACCUCCAGCUGGAUAGGAAUUCGAUUCGAAUCGCCGUCUCUCCCGGUUAGUGAGAACUUGACAGAGCAGCGGCAAACGUAGCAUUCACUAAUAAACUUGGUUCAUGAUAACAAUGAUAGCAAGAAGAACAUAUGAUGAAUUUUGAUAUGGUUACUAUUGUUUGUAAUAAUCAAGUGAUGUGUUGUAGUACAGGUGCUAAUCUAGUGGUAGGCUGUUGAUAAAUAAAUUGAUGCUCUUAAAAUGAUUUAGUUGUAAGUUAAGCUUUUGGCAAAAAGGUGAGUCAGUCAGCUCCACUUAAAAUGUAGCCUUGCAUGAUCCUUGGUGUCUUUUAUGUUUUACUAGACGGGUAAGUCUAGCUGAGUACAUCCUCGUACUCAGGGUUUAUUCCCACCUGUUGCAGAUGAUAUCUUCUAUGACGGUUUCUGCAAGACCUGUCUCCAUCCCGCUGGGGAUGAGGACUAACCGUUGGGCACGGUUCUCUAAUCUUCUCAUCUAUGAUGCUUUUGGAAGGAUGACCUAGACUCUGGCAGUAACAAGCUUGUGACUGAGUUUUAAACAAGUGUGUGUACUUAUUUUGCUUCCGCUACUUCGAACAUGUGUUGUAAUAACUUAAUACUCCGAUGUGGUGCCGCUUCGACGGCAAUGAAUGACUAUGUAACAUUCGUUGUGUUUAUGUUGAACUAUUACGAUCUUGGUUUGUUGCGAGUUGGUUUGAAGUCCUUCGUGAUUUCGAUUGACUACCGGGAUUAUAUGGGCUCAAGUCUAGAAACUUGAUUGUUUGACGAUCGUUUCUGCACUUGAACUCUUAUAAUUUGGUCGGUUCUGUGACAGUAACCCCGUUGUGGAAGUAAUUACUGACCUUCUUCCAGUCAAGAGAGGCGAUCCAGGACGCCCCGUCAUCCCGAUCUCCAUCGCCAUGGUGGACUUCCCAGAAGCACUCUGCGACUUUGGCUCCAGCGUCAACAUUAUGCCCAGGGUACUCUAUGGAAAUUUCUUUACACAUCCUUUAUUAGAAAUAGCCAUGUGUUUGCAGCUUGCAGAUCGUACGCUAAGUUUCCCAAAGGGAAUAUUGAAGAACCUCUGCGUCCAAGUUGGUACCUUGUACGCCCCAGCAGACUUCGUGGUGAUAGAGACUGGUACUGAUGAGAGGGCACCCAUCCUAGGGAGGCCAUUCCUGAACAUCUCAGGAGCUGUCAUCUACGCUAGGGCUGCCAAGAUCAGUUUCUACAUCAAGGGGAGGAAGGAGACGUUUUCCUUCAAGAACAAGACUACACAAAUCUCAGAGCAAUCCCGACAUGAACCAAGGAAGAGGACUAACCGGAGGAACAGGAACAAGCAAGUGUGGACCGAGUCAGCUAAGAUGGUCACUGCAGUUCAAGGAGGUCAAGAUCAUUGACUUAAGUCACCGUUUCUAACCAAAAAGGACGACCUAGGAAUGCCAAGCAUCUAUUGCUCCAUCAAUGGGUACAACUUCUACAAGACGCUUUGCGACACUAGGUCAAGCGUCAACAUAAUGGCCGCAGUUACCUAUCAUCUCCUGUUCGGAACCAUGCCCCUACAACCAACAUACAUUCAGCUCCAGAAGAUUUUAAGGUUAUUGACAUGGGAGAAGACGAGUACAAUCCACCCAUCACCAUUGGGAGACCGUUCCUCAGCACUAUUAAAGCAAUCAUGUACAUUGGAACUGGAGAAGUCCACAUGCACUUCCCCUCUAAGAAGGUACGUCGCUAUUUUACUAACCCUAACUAUAUAGUUGAAGACUCUAAGCAGGUCAGGACAAGAAGAAGAUGACGUAACCGCAAUCGGAGGAGGCAAAUCAUCAAGGAUAGAUGGGCAGACUACGAAGGAGAAGUUGUAAGGUCUGAAGACAUACAACUUGCACAGAACUAUCCUGAGGAGACCGUAGCACCGAGUCAGGUGUGGAGAGAGAAGAUACUUAUACAUGAAGAGCAGGCGCCGCCGGAACCACCGACUACGUCGUCCAGCGAAUCCCAGGACGACUAAGAAAACGGAGAGUCUUGUUCGGAGGACUUAAAAACACCGAAUGCCUGGCCAAGAGAAUUCAAGGAUCAAAGAAGACUAGCAGAUGAAGGAUAUCCUAAUCGCUAUCAGGGUGCUACCGACAUUCAAAUACACCUCCGCCACCUGCUAGCUACAUCAGAAGGAAUUACGUCAAAAUCCAGCUUGGGGGAGAGCACCCCCAUUUAUCCAGCUAAGUGUUCUACUCAUGUUUAUACUUUACUCAAAUAAUAAAAAGAUGCAUAAUCAUAAAAACCCAAAUAAAGAUUUUGUGCUUAUAUAUAUAUAUAUCUUUGCUUAGUUUGCUAAAUAAAUAAAUAAAUAAAGUUUGCUAUGAACCCUAAUGAUAAGCUCUCACAUGGAAAUGAUGAAUAGUUGCUCUGCCAUGACUAGUUCUCAAAAUUGAAAUCUCUCUCAAGUUUAGGCCUGACUGUUAUUAAUUAAUAUUUGCUCUAAACCUGAACUUGGGGGAAGAGUACUUGAUCUGAAGUCUAAGUUGUUAACGGAUAUGAUAUGGGAAGGUUGAGCUGCUGUUUAUCUAUUCCUAGAGAUGCUAGAAUUAUAGAGAAUUUAUCUUUGAAAAUCUUUAAAAUGUUGCAUGAUGAGUUCCUAUAUGAUGAGAGUUUAAAUUCCUACCAUCGCCAUAUAUACAUGCUUGCUAAACUUUGAGCCACACAUUUACUUUUUACUACUUAUGAGCAUUGAGUGUGGUCAAGCUGUGUAGACCCUUAGGAGCUUGUCAUGUGGUUAAAUCAAGAUUCACUUGCACGAUCACUCACACAUGCUGCUUCUACUUCGGAAGUAUGCAUCCACAUAUAUCCAUCCAUUUCCAUCUCCAGAACCAUCCAAAAAUAUUCUACUCCUAAUCUGGGAGAGAAUAGCCAAAAACAUUUCUAUUUUCCCCUAUGAAGUAAAUGCUCAAGUUAUUUCGGUUACUACCACUUGCUACAUUAUUUCAAGAGAUGAGUGCUCUAAAAAAAGAAAGAAGAAGAUACGAGGAAAUAAAAAGGGGCAAGUGCCUGGAACCUCGAAACAAUAAAAAAAGUGAGACGAGAGGUAAAAAUGGACAAGUGUCUAAUAGUAGAAUUAGGGGUACAAGAUACGCACCUGAGAGAAAAGAAAAAAAAAGAAAAGAAGAAAAUAUAGAGCAUCUCAUUGCCCUCAAAAAGCUUCAAAGUGCAAGAAAGGUAUGUAUCUCCUCAAAAGAGCAUAAGUAGAAUUAGACUUUCACCAUUGUUAUCACCAUCAUCACCAUACACCAUUCAUUCGCCACACAUGCACAUCUUGAUUUGACUUAUUGACUUGUUUCGCUGGAUCCAUGGUUUGACUAUGCAAUAAAUGUCUUGUAAGUAUGUAUUAGCUGUCUCCCACCUAUGAGCUCUAGAUAUCAAAACCUUAUUAGAGUAGGGUGAGAGAGAAGGCAAUGCCACUAUGCCUCAUACCAAAAAUACCACAUACUUUGAGAGAAGGCAUACACCAUUACUGCCUUGGUAAGGAUCCAGAAAUACCACAAAAGAGAGACUAGAGAGAGUCAUACAAGGAAUCUCUGAGUUUUAUUUGAAAAUCUGCAAAAACUCCAGAGCUAUAUCUGAUCAAGAAUAAGAGACAUGGCGCUUGACUAGACCGUUCUAUCUUUUAACUACUCAAGACAAAAGUGACGGUUGCAAGCCCCAUGGUGGAAGGUAAUAUGAGUAAGUUUAAAUUUUAACAGUUACCCUAACCCAGAGAUGAGAUCUUGUUUGAACGCAUGUAUAUCUUUAAGGCAUGAAACCACUGCAGAAACUUUUGAGUUUAUCUUUGCUCAGGGACGAGGAAAGGUUAAGCUUGGGGGAGCUUGUUGACGGUCCUUAAUGCUCACAUUUAACCAUCAACUAAUCAUAGAAAAGGAUCCAAAUGCAACUGACACCCAAACUUAGGAUUUUAUCUGAUAGAAUUCCACGAGUUUUGGUGUUUGUCUAUUUCUGCACGGGGUUAUCAGGAAUUAUGGAAGAAAGGCCCACACGUCGGGUUUACAUAGAGAUAUUAACGUGCCGUGCAAUUUUCUAUCAUCUAGAAGACUCAAGAAGCCACGAGAACGAAGCGGAGGCCGAGAGGGCUCAGGCACAGGGCAUCCGCCCUAGUCCUGAGGGUGCCCGCCCUGCUAUAGUGCUCAAUUAGAGUCCAAUUCGGGGACAACGCUCCACCAACUAAAGGAUCAAGGAAAACCGUGCGAUUAAUGUUGGUUUGAUCCAAUGGCCCAGAUUCAUCUGAAAAGACUAUAUAAGCAAGGCCCCCUGGCCUCUGGAGAUCAUACCUCUUCUACAGAAUCAAAGCUAGGGUUUCAAUUCUUCAUCCAAGUAGAGAGGAUCCCUCUAGUUCUUCUAGUUCUAGUUCUCGUUAGUUCUAGUUGUAAUAUAGAAAAUAGGGAGAGAGAAGAGUAGAGCGGAGGAGGAGCCGGAUCUUCGUCAACAUUGUACUUUUGCAGCAACUGGUUCGUUCUUCAUCGUUCUCCAGGUUCUUCAAUUCAUAAUUCCUGAGUUCUUUAAUUACUUUUAUUUACAUUGAAGUUAUUUGUUGGAUUCCCGCUUGCAUCAAGUGUUCUAAUCUUUGAAACAUUAGAGUAGUAAUUAAUAGAUUAGAUGUGGUGUUUAGUCAUACAAUUACCUAGUGUAACACCCUAAAAUUUACUCCUUUUGAAAUAUAGAUAAAAUUAUUUUAAUUUUGUAUUUUUUGUGCUCAUGAAAAUAUAGGACAAAUAAUAUUUUUCAUUAAAUUAAAAUUUAUCAUAAGGCUUAACGAUAUUAUUAUGCGUACAUGCCGGUGCAUAUGUUUUGAUGUGAUGCUUGUUGCUCCUUUGUGUGUUGAUAGCACUAUUUUUAGGCGAAAGGGUUAAGAGGCUGAUCACCUCGGGCGAAAGGGUAAAUCAUGACUCAUGGAUAAAGAUGUACAACCUUUGCAGAGUGUUAAAACUAGUAUACUAGCCGAGCUCACGGUCAGGAGCGGCCUUGGGGACAUCUACAUUAAGGGUGAUGAAUCUUGUGUGUUAAAUAUGCUCAUUGUUUAUUGUUUAAUGCUUUACAUUACAAUCUAGUUGCUAUACUUGCGGAGUUCGACAUGGACUCACUCUUGCUAUUUUCCCCAAACCUCAGGAGAAGUUUAGGCUUCUGAUCAACCAGUCAGUUGGAUCCUGUAGAGAGAAGUUAAUAUCCGAAGUUGGAGUUGUCUAUCCACUGUUUGCUAUUAAAGGUUAUCUCUUUUAUACUAAGUACGUUAUAUAUUUAUGCAUUGUCUUUUGAUAUUACCCCUUAUUUGUAGCUAUAUGUGAGAUUUGACUUCUAAGACUCACAUAUGGUGCAUAUCUGAUUUUAUCCUUAAGAUCGGGUAUUACAUAGUGGUAUCGGAGCAAUGCUGGCUGUAGGAUGCAAGCCUAGUUAGAAAUUGGCCGUCUUAAGAUUUUGAAAUUGUCAUAAAAUCUUUGCUCUAUAAACCUUGAUAUUUUCCUCUAUACUAUAUCCUUUUCAUUGCUAUUCAUCUUCACCUUGUUGCUUAUUUUAAAGACUUGUUCUCAUCCCCACUCUUUGCUUGAUAUGCUUUUAGAACUUUUUCUUACCACCUUCUGGCAUCGUUGGAAUAGCUGUUUUAAGAUAUCUACCCUUACUAUGAAGAGAACGAUAGUAUCGCAAUUUGAGUGAAGUGUGCUUAAUUGGUUUGUUAUUAUGUUUAUGCUUGAUUUGGAUCUUUGUAAUGAGUGCAAUGAUCUUGUGGGUUUUCUCCACGAUAUCAUUUAGUUUAUAGUCCUAAGACAUAAGGAGUAGUGAAAUAAGUAGUUGGGUUUGGUUAUAACCUGUUUCUAUCCCUUGCUGAUUUCUGCAGCAGUUUGUAAUAAUGCUGGUGUAUCUCAAGUUCUGAUCGUGCAAAGUUUAUCAAAUGUUUCUAGGAACAAGUAGACUUCAAGAUCUUUCUCUGACCGCAAGAAUCAUCCUCAUAGCUAUUAUGGUUUGGAAGUUACAAAAAUCACAAGAUGAUACAAAUGUGCUGUCAGGAAUCUGGACCAGUUUCAAUUACUGACUGUUUGAGACAAACAUAACUAUAGAAUUUGGAAAAGUGUUCUAUAGAAAAGUUAAAGAUGACUUGCUAAGCUUUCUAAUGGUAUAAGCUGGAACUUAUUUGGCUAAGUAGAACCUGAGAUAUGAUAUUUACAAUUGGAUGUUUCUCUUCUGUAUCAAAGUCUGGACAGUUUUGGUGUUCCCUAUUUUCCGCCAAGUUAAAGACAGAAUCUGGGAAAACAUGGUAUAUGAAAGUUGUAGAGGAUUUCCUAAGCUUUUCAAAAAUGUAACGAUCAUCUCCAGAUGAGUUAAUUAGCUCGAGAUAUAAUUUCUGGAAGUUACUGCACCUUUGCUAAGAUAUUAUCAGGAAGGAUAUUAUGUUUGGUUAUUUUACCUAUGCUUAAAGACAGAACCUAUGGAGGACUUCUACAUGAAAGUUGUAGGGAAUUUCAUAAGUUUUCUAACGAUAUAAUCUGCAACUCUAUUGGAUUAACAGAAUAAGAGUUAUACCUGAUUUACUACGCUGGUAUUUUUCAUAUCAUGAGGAAAUUUCACGAUACCUGUUUGCUCCACUACACAUAAGUUCUUUGGGGAUGUCAGAAGUUCUCAAUGUUAACUUGUCUGGAAAGUAUGAAAGCUACCUUUCUUGGUCCCCUAGUAGACUUUUCUUAAGGGGGGUAGCCUAAUUAAAGAACUACAAGGAGAAGAAGUGGUUAAUAACUGGAACAUCUACAAGAACAUCAAGUGCUUGGUAUGUUGGUUUGUUUCAAGAUAUCAUUCUAUUUGGAGUGUGCUGAUAACAAUGGAGGUUUAUACUGAUACUCAUGGAUUAAGAGUUGUGUAUGAGGAUCAGAUGACACCAAAGUCUACAGAGUUGUACGUAUAGUGUGAGAGUGAAGCAACUUAACUGUGAUAAAGGUACCAAUAAUUAGAACUUAGUGAUGAAACUAACCUUGGAUCAAGAGACUCGGUACAACGAAUUUAAAAGACUAUAUGAUGUGUAGCGUCUAAAAAGGAUAGGAGAAAUAAGAAGGAUCGUACCUACUACACUAGGUGUCUCAUCAAUAUUUUAGGAAUACUUGAGAUGCUACUUGGAGUAAGAGAGUGGAAUCAUUGCUAUGAAGAUAUAACUACUCAAGAAAGUGAACAAGAUUCAAAAUCUACGUCUCUUUGAUAACCGUCUUACGAAUCUCGAGGACGAGAUUCAUCUUAAGGGGGGUAGAAUUGUAACACCCUAAAAUUUACUCCUUUCAAAAUAUAGAUAAAAUUAUUUUAAUUUUGUAUUUUUGUGCUCAUGAAAAUAUAGGACAAAUAAUAUUUUUCAUUAAAUUAAAAUUUGUCAUAAGGCUUAGCAAUAUUAUUAUACAUACAUGCUGGUGCAUAUGUUUUGAUGUGAUGCUUGUUGCUCCUUUGUGUGUUGAUAGCACUGUUUUCAGGUCGUCCGAUUAAUCGCGAGUAAUCGCGAUUAAUCGUCCUGGUCGGUCAGGAGUGCUCGAUUAGGAGGUCCGACCCGACCAGGUCGACCAGAAACCGGGUCGUCCGAUUAGUCGUCCACAUAUCGCGAUUAAUCGUCUGAUUAGGACAUGGACGACCAGGUUGUGUGCUCUGUUUUUGGGCUUUUUUGACUCGGCAGAUAUGUGAGGGGUAUGGAGAUGCUGUUGGUUGUCCCAGUUCUCCAGAAAUAGUUAAGAAGGAGAUGUUGGUUUAUAUGAAAAAGAGUUGAAAAUAAAGAGGAAUGUUGGUUUACAGUAAUACAGUCUUGAUGCUUCCUUUAUUGUGUAUAAUAUAGUGUAUAUAUAGAGGUAUAUAUAUAGGUCGACCAGCUGAUAUGCCUGGACUACCAGGGACGACCAGGGGGACGACCAGGGUCGAUUAAUCGACCUGGUCGCUGAUUAAUCGCGAUUAAUCGCCUGGUCGGUCCUAGGUCGACCAGGAUCGACCAGCCAACCAGAAAACAUUGGUUGAUAGUAAGAAAAUAUUUUAAAAUACGUUUAGUAGAUCGACCUUCCUUAUUCGGCACGUAUUUAUCUUUUUCUACAAUCAAAUUCCUUGUCUCUUAGUUCAAGAUUUCGGUCAGAAUCUCUCAGAAUCUUUUCUUUCAAACCUAAGUCACUCAUUUGAGUUUUUCGUCCAUCAAGCAAUCUCUAUAAACUUCUCGGGUAUUUUUCUAGUCUUUUUAGAUGCCCCAAAUUAUCUCAUCAUGAGCCCCAAAUACUUUAUUUGGGUUCUUCAUAUUCCGUAAUGUCACUGAUAAUUUUCCCUGAAUUUUUGGAGCUUUCGAAAUAUUUUCGCGGAUUAAAUAGUAAUUCUAGAUUCUUUUUGCCCUGAAAUUAAAUAUUUCUAAAAUAAUAAAUUCUAACCCUAGUCGAACCUAAUCCAAACUGCACGUGUGUGGAUAUAUAUAUACACGUUAUGUUCAUCUGGGCCAUUAAUCUUCUUUAGCAUCACGUCCUAAAACCCUUGGCCUCUUGUGAGCCGCCGCCAUCAGCCACGCCGGUGCUAUGCGCCGCCACCCGGUGGAUCACAUACCUCAGCUCCAUCCAGUGCCGCUCUGGGCGCUCGGGCUCCCUCCUGGCGCCUCCUGCUUCUUCGAGCAGAGCAAGCACUGCUGGCCGAGGCGCGUGAGCCUGCGUGACCGGGGUCUAGUAUGGCGGUGUACUGUCUCUGGUGUUGCCUAGCUUGAUCGAGCUCCCAACUCUCAAGGCUGGUGCCCAGCACAACGAAGCCACCCUUCAGGGCGCCAUGCACAAGCCGGAGCUCCUUCCCGUGACCAUGUUCUGAACGAGCUGCACAAGGAUGAAGAUGCUGGUAAUUACGAAAUUGCCAUUGUAUCUUUUAAUCUCCACCGUUUAAACGUUUUAACUCCGUUUUGGUUCGUUUAAGUCACGUUAGAUUCGUAUCGAUAUACUCUAUCCCGUACUCCUAAAGUUUAUCACAGAACUUAAUUAUCAAUUUAUUAGUUUAAAUAUUAAUUAGACUAAUAUUUAUUUACUAGCUUUCAAAAUAAAAGCAAUCAAAGUUUAACUAUAUUUUGUUACGUUAUGACCUUACUGCCAUAAGCUACAUGUUUGUAGAAACUUUUAAUAUGCUUAUGUAAUUGAAUUUUAUAACUUGAAUAUUAAUCUGAUCUAUGCUUAUGCAAUUGAGAUUCUAAUUAAAAGCUACAUAGGUUUUAUAUCUCGGUGAUUAUACGUAACAUGCUAAUUUGAUUUAUUAUUAAAUUAAAUAUGUUUUUAAUUAUACUUAGCGCAACACACGCUGCACGACAUGAGAUGUUCUCACAUGUUGCUUUGUUUUUGCAAGUUAAAGUAUAAUCGGUAUAUAAAAAAAUAUUGAAAUAUUUGUAAUUAAAAUAUAACUACAUUUAGCUUGGUAUAGUGACUAAUCUAAAUGAAUAUUUCAUAUGGUUAUGUUUAAUUAAAAUAAAUCACGCAUGUAGAUUUUUAUUGUAUAAUGUACAAUAAUAAAAUAAUAUAAACUCUCGAUAGUAGUCUUCUUUUAACCGUAGACUCAUUCUCGGCGUUUUUCUUAUGCUCUCGCCACCAUAGCAGCAAGCUCUCUUGUAUGUUGCUUAAUCUUGUAUGGUGUACCGUUCUUAGUUGUUUCUAUUUGUUACUUGUAUGUUUGCCUAUGUGAGGUGUUUGCUACGAAUAGACAAGAACUGUUUGUGGGCUCUGAAGAUCAAAAGGUGAUGACCGAAAGCUGAUGGUGUGAGAAUUAAGCAAACAUAAAAGGCAAGGAUAGCAUUUGGAUUUUGUUUCUGUGAUCAUGAUCCUAUGACUAGAUUAAUGUUAAGUAAUAAAUGAUAAAAAUGACUUUUUAGCCACUUGAUGAUUUGUCUGUACGUGAUCACCCGAGACAACAGUGCAACCAUGAGGGCUAUAAUGGCUCUGGCUUUAGCUCAGUAUGAAGACCUUUUCUAGCUUGUUAGAGGUUACCCAAAAGGGCGGAGGGGCUGAACCGUUUUGGGUAUAGUGCGAGCCCCUGUCCUUAUGUGUAUAGGCUGUGCGUCAUUGUGCCAUUUGGAAGGGGGGUAUCUAUAUUUGCGCGCAAAGGAGACCUUGCGGCCCUAACACGUUAGACGAACUUUUGAAAGGCUUCAUAGUGAUCCCUGCCGACCUUCCUUGGAAGUGGGUUAAGAGGCUGAUCACCUCCGGCGAAAGGGUAAAUCAUGACUCAUGGGUAAAGAUGUACAACCUCUGCAGAGUGUUAAAACUAGUAUACUAGCCGAGCUUACGGUCAGGAGCGGCCUUGGGGACAUCUACAUUAAGGGUGAUGAAUCUUGUGUGUUAAAUAUGCUCAUUGUUUAUUGUUUAAUGCUUUACAUUAUUUAUGUCACAUUGAUCAUGAAAUUGUGGGAGCUAUACAAUCUAGUUGCUAUACUUGUGGAGUUCGACAAGGACUCUUGCUAUUUUCCCCAAACCUCAGGAGAAGUUUAGGCUUGUGAUCAACCAGUCAGUUGGAUCCUGUAGAGAGAAGUUAAUACCCGAAGUUGGAGUUGUCUAUCCGCUGUUUGCUAUUAAAGGUUAUCUCUUUUAUACUAAGUACGUUAUAUAUUUAUGCAUUGUCUUUUGAUAUUACCCCUUAUUUGUAGCUAUAUGUGAGAUUUGACUUCUAAGACUCACAUAUGGUGCAUAUCUGGUUUUAUCCUUAAAAUCGGGUAUUACGCCUGGAAUUGCACCCAAUCCUGCGGAUUGUUGUGGUAGCCUUAGGGUAGUGACAGCCUUAACGGUCGACGUAUUCCACCUCAUUCGGAUCGGUGUUUGUAGGACCGUAAUCAGACCUUCCUAGCCCCCUUCUCAUCUCUUUUUGUGGUUAGUGCUCUGAUGUCCCGAUAUAAAUAAUCUUUGAAGUAAUUCUUGAUUCUUAGAUCAACUAGAGAAUUCUUAGGAAACUUCCUCUCUUCCCACCAAAAAUAAUUAAAUAGUUAUCCUUGGGCGAUCUUGGAUCUUAAUUAGUACACUCACGUUCCGUGUGAAAAAUCGAUACUCUGGAAUACUCACGGGUGAAGGCUACAUCGGUAUCCGUGCACUUGCGGAUUUUUCUGUUUGCGUUUAAAAUACCCAACAGAUGUGCAUGUGUUGCGAGUGAAUGGUGUAUUGUGAUGAUGGUGAAAAUCUAAUUCUACUUUUGCUCCUUUAAGGGGAUACAUACCUUUCUUGCACUUUGAAGCUUUUUGAGGAGAAUGAGAUGCUCUAUAUUUUCUUUUUUCUUUUCUCUCAAGUGGGUAUCUUGUACCCCUAAUUCUACUGUUGGACACUUGUCUAUUUUUACCUCUCGUCUCACUUUUUGUUUUCUUCAAGGUUCCGGGCACUUGCCCCUUUUUAUUUCCUCAUAUUUUCAUUCAUUUUUUUAAGAGCACUCAUCUCCUGAAAUAAUAUGGCAAGUGGUAGUAACCAAGAUAACUCGAGCAUUUAUUUCAUAGGGAAAAUUAUGGAUAGGAUAAUGUUUUUGGCUAUUCUCUCCCGGAUUAAGAGUAGAAUACUUUUGGGUGGCUCUGGAGAUGGAAAUGAGUGGAUAUAUGUGGAUGCGUACUUUCGGAGUAGAAGUAGCAUGUGUGAGUGAAUGUGCAAGUGAAUCUUGAUUUUAACCGCAUGACAAGCUCCUAAGGGUCUACACAGCUUGACCACACUCAAUGCUCAUAAGCAGUAAAAAGUAAAUGUAUGGUUCUUAGUCUAAUAAGCAUGUAUGUAUGGCUGUGGUAGAAAUUUAAACUCUUAUCAUACAGGAACUCAUCAUGCAAUAUUUUUAAAGAUUUUCAAAUAUAAAAUUCUCCAGAAUUCUAGCAACUCUAGGAACAGAAAAAUAUCAGCUCAACCUUCCCAUAUCAUAUCCGUUAACAACUUAGACUUCAGAUCAAGUACUCUUCCCACAAGUUCAGGUUUAGAGCAGGUUUAAAUUAUAACAGUUAUGCCUAAACUUGAGAGAGAGCUCAAAAUUGAAAACUAGGUACAUGGCAGAGCAACUAUUUAUCCUAUCCAUGUAAGAGUUUAUCAUUUAUGUUCAGUUUGGCCUAGACGCUUUAUUUACUUAUUUAGCAAACUAAGAAAAGAUAUAAGCACAAAAUUUUUAUUUGUGUAUUCAUAAUUAUGCAUCUUUUUAUUAUUUGAGUAAAGUAUAAACACGAGUAGAAACACUUAGCUGGAUAAACAGAGGUGCUCUCCCCCAAGCUGGAUUUUGACGUAAUUUCUUCUGAUGUAGCUAGUAGGUGGCGGAGGUGUAUUUGAAUGUCGGCAACACCCUGACAGAGAUUAGGAUGUCCUCCGUCUGCUAGUCUUCUUUGAUCCUUGAAUUCUGUGGAGCUCAAAUAGACAACAAAGCUUUGUGGAACUGGUUAAGUGUUAGCAUAAAAUCUCUUUGCCUUUAUCAUGUUGAGCUUCCUCUAAUAAAUAUUACUCUCUCUGGUAGGAUCAUAAAUUUACAUUUAUAUUCUCAUUUUUAUAUGAUAGGAAUAUAUUCAUUUUAUUUUUAUGCCACCAUAGUGAAUGUACUUAUGGGUUUUAUGCAAUGAGCAUAGGCUUACUAUUUUUAACAUUUUUAUUUUGAACCUGAUUAUUUUAAAUAAUUGAAGGGAAAAGGAAAACCACCAAGUUUACCUCUUGGCAAGGCGUUCGGUGUUUUUAAGUCCUCCGAACGGGACUCUCCGUUUUCUCAGUCGUCGUGGGAUUCGUUGGAUGGCUUAGUCGGUGAUUCCGGCGGCGCUCCUCUUCGUGUAUAACUAUCUUCUCUCUCCACACCUGACUCGGUGCUACUGUCUCCAUAGGACAGUUCUAUCCAAGCUGUAUGUCUUCAGACCUUACAACUUCUCCUUCGUAAUCUGCCCAUCCGUCCUUGAUGAUUUGCCUCCUCUGGUUGCGGUUGCUUUGUCUUCUUCUUGUCCCGACCAGCUUCGAGUCCUCAACUAAAUAGUUAGGGUCAGUAAAACAGUGGCGUACCUUCUUAGAGGGGAAGUGCAUAUGGACUUCUCCAGUUCCAAUAUAGAUGAUAACUUUGAUAGUGUUGAGGAACGGUCUUCCAAGGAUGAUGGGUGUAUCGUACUCGUCUUCUCCCAUGUCAAUGACCUGAAAAUCAUCUGGAGCUGAAUGUAUGUUGGUUGUAGGGGCAUGGUUCCAUGCAGGAGCUGAUAAGUGACUGCGGCCAUUAUGUUGACGUCAGAUCCGGUGUCGUAGAGUGUCUUCUGAAAAGAGUAUCCGUUGAUUGUGCACUCGAUGCUUGGAACACUAGGGUCGUCCUUCGUGUUCAUCCUUUAGGUGAAUCAUUUGAUUAGGUGUGGGCCUUGACAUGUGCACCUCUUAAUACGGUGUCACCCAUGUUCUUUGUUUGUCCAGCAGUUCGAGAUGUGGCUGUUGGGUAUUCUUAACAUCAUUACCAAAAGUAGACUUAGUUUUCUAAUUCUGAUAACGGUGCCAAAAAUGCGAAACCUAUCUCUCAUACCACUUAAGCCAAGUUGUCAUCCCCAGCAUGACAUGAGAGACGCGGUAUUGAAAUAUGCAAUUGCUCUUCUAAAUAAAUAAUAAAUGGGAUCUACAAGCGCACAGAUUAAUACCGAUGUAGCAUUUUAACCGGGAAGUAUUUUAGGUAUCGUUAUUUAUAUUUUUACCACUGGGAAGGGAUUAGUAACCAUCAAUAUUGAUUAUAGAAUAGAAUAUGAGAUCGAGUAUCUAUCAUUGCAUGUAUAAUUGAGAACAUUUAUCUAACUCUUUCAUACAGGGAUAAGUGUCACAUAAAAGAUAUAUGAAAUAAUGAAUAGUGACAAAGAUAAUUAAUCUGAUCAGCAUAACUUAGCCACAUAUAAAUAUGAUAAGCACCUCAAUUAGAUAUUCUAGCAAGUCAUUAGCAUGGUAUUAGAACGAACUACAAGAAUAUUUCCUAAGUUAUUCUCAACUAUAUAGUCUAGCAUUAUCAUAGUUAGUGCAAGCAUACUUAGCAAUCUUUUUAGACAAGAUUACACCCAUGCAUAGUGAUAUUAGCAAGGAAUACGAGAAACAUAGCAAUCACUCCCCUGUAAUAAUGUUGCUAUGCCAGCCCAAUACACGAGAGGGGGACUAUAUAAGAAUCAAUGAAGCUGUCACUAUCACGAACUACCCCACGAUCUGGCAUAUUGGGUACAAUCGCAGAUAAAUACGGUAUAAGCACCACACCUACACAAUAUCUAUCAUUUACCCAUGGAUCCGAUGGAUAAACGCUAUACGAUCCUAAACAUGUAUAUAGAUCCAAUCUAACUAAGCAGAGUAUAUUACUAUGAUAGACUAAGAACAAUAUAAUCUUGAAUAUAAACAAGUAGAGCAAAGUCAUAAGCAAUAUAUUGAAGUAGAACAAAGUCAUCUUCAUAAUAUUGAAGAACAAAGAUGAACAAUUAGAAGAACAAUUAGAGAAUUACCAAGAAUCCUCUUGACAGAUCCGGAAAUGAAUCGAAGAUUGACUCCUUCUAGUUCUAAUCCUAUGUAGCUAUGCUAAUCUAGAUGUCUAGUUGAUGUGGUGGCUCUAAUCUUGAUCAGAGGCUUCUUCUCCCUUGAGGAAUAAUGAAUUAGGGUUGAGAGGCUCUCUCCUCCAGGGGCCAGGGGGUCUGGUUUUAUAGACCCUUCAAGUGAAUAUGGGCCGUUGGAUCAAAGCGAAAUUGAUUGAACGGUUAUCCUUGAUCCUUUAGGUCGGUGGAGAUUGAUCCCAAAAGAGAGUCCUGUUUGGACUCCAGGAGGGGGCGGGCGCCCAGGGCCUGGCUCCGUUCGGCCUCCGCUUCAUUCCCGUGGCUUCUGGAGUCUUCUAGGUGUAAGAUAAUUGCGCGGCUCGUUAAUAUCUCUAUGUAAACAUGACAUGUGGGCCUUUCUUUGGUAUUUCCUGAUAACCCCCUGUAGAAAUAGACAAAGACCAAAACUCGUGGAAUUCUAUCAGAUAAAACGCUAAGUCUGGAUGUUUAUUUCAUUUGGAUCCUUUUAUUUGUUUGUUUGAUAAUUAAAUUUGAUACUUAAGGACCGUCAAAAAACUCCCCCAAGCUUACCUCUUGCUCGUCCCUCAGCAAGGAUAGACUCAGUAAUCGAUCAGAAGUUGUUGCAAUACCUUUAAAAGUUGACGGUACACAUGCUUCUAAAAAAGGUCUCAUCUCUGAGUUAGAGUAAACUGUCAAGACUUAAAACUUACUUACUUUACCAUUCACCAUGGAACUUGUAACCGUCUCUUCUGUCUUGAGUAGUUAAAAGAUAGAACAGUCUAGUCAAGUUCUAUGUCUCUUAUUCUUAAUUAGCUAUAGCUCUGAAGUUUUUGCAGAUUUUGAAAUAAAACUCAGAGAUUCCUUGUAUGACUCUCUUAGAUCUCUCUUUUGUGGUAUUUCUGGAUCCUUACCAAGGCAGUGAUGGUAUAUGCCUUCUCUCAAGAUAUGUAGUAUUUGUGGUAUAAGGCAUAGUGACCUUGUCUUCUCUCUCACUCUACUCUAAUAAGGCUUUUAUAUCUGGAGCUCAUAGGUGGAAGAUAAAAUAUACAUACUUACAAGACAUUUAUUGCAUAGUCAAACCAUAGAUCCAAAGAAACAAAUCAAUAAGUCAAAUCAAGAUGUGCAUGUGUGGCGAAUGAAUGUUGUUUGGUGAUGAUGGUGAUAACAAUGGUGAAAGUCUAAUUCUACUUUUGCUCUUUGAGGGGAUACAUACCUUUCUUGCUUUUUUGAAACUUUGUAAGGAGAAUGAGAUGCUCUUCUUUUUUCUUUUCUCUCAGGUGGGUAUCUUGUACCCGUAAUUCUACUGUUAGACACUUGUCCAUGUUUACCUCUCGUCUCACUUUUUCUUUUCUUUCGAGGUUCCGGGCACUUGCCCCUUUUUAUUUCCUUGUAUCUCUUUUCCUCUCUCUCUUUUUUUAGAGCACUCAUCUCUUGAGAUAAUAUAGAAAGUGGUAGUAACAAGAUAACUUGAGCAUUUAUUUCAUAGGGGAAAAAUAGAAAUAUUUUUGGCUAUUCUCUCCCGGAUUAGGAGUAGAAUAUUUUUGGGUGAUUCUGGAGAUGGAAAUGGAUGGAUAUAUGUGGAUGGUACUUCCGGAGUAGAAGCAGCAUGUGUGAGUGAACGUGCAAGUGAAUCUUGAUUUAACAACAUGGCAAGCUCCUAAGGGUCUACACAGCUUGACCACACUCAAUGCUCAUCAGCAGUAAAAAGUAAAUGUGUGGCUCAAAGUCUAGCAAGCAUGUAUAUAUGGCUGUGGUAGAAAAUUAAACUCUCAUCAUACAAGAACUCAUCAUGCAAUAUUUUAAAGAUUUUCAAAGAUAAAAUUCUCCAGAAUUCUAGCAUCUCUAGGAACAGAUAGACAACAGCUCAACCUUCCCAUAUCAUAUCCGUUAACAACUUAGACUUCAGAUCAAGUUUUCUUCACAUAAGUUUAGGUUUUGAGCAAGCUUUAAAUUAUAACAGUUAUGUCUAAACUUGAGAGAACUUCAAAUUUAAAAAUUAGGAAGAGCAACUAUUCAUCAUAUCAAUGCUAGAGUUUUAUUAUUAAGAUUCAGAUUAGCAUAGCCACUUUAUUUAUUUAUUAAACACACUAAGCAAAAGGUAUAUAUAUAUAAACCUAAAAUCUUUAUUUGGUUUUUCAUAAUUAUUUAUAUCUAUAUUUUAAUAUAGUAUAACUAUAAAGAUAGAUAGAAAUACUUAUCGGGAUAAAUGGGGGUGCUCUCCCCCAAGCUGAAUUUUGACGUAAUUUCUUUUUGAUGUAGCUAGCAGGUGGCAGAGGUGUAUUUGAAAGUCGGCAGUAUCUUGACAACGAUUAGAAUGUCCUCCGUCUGCUAGUCUUCUCGAUUCUUAAAUUCUGUGGAGCUCAAAUAGACAACAAAGCUUUGUGGAACUGAUUAAGUGUUAGCAUAAAUAUCUAGCCUUUAUCAUGUUGAGUCUCCUCAAUAAAUGUUACUCUCUAUUUUUAUAUUUUCAUUUUAUAAAGCAGAAAAGAAAUAUUUAUUCUAUUUUUAUGCCACCACAGUGAAUGUACUUAUGGGUCUCAUGCCACUCGUAUACUCACAUGGGGCUUAUUGUUUUUUAACAUUUUUAUUUUCUUUUUAGGAUAGUAUGAACAUGAUUAACUAAGCAAACUAUUUAAAAUAAUUGAAAGGGAAAGGAUAACUACCAAGUUUACCUCUUGGCAAGGCGUUCGGUGUUUUUAAGUCCUCCGAACGGGACUCUCCAUUUUCUCAGUUGUCCUGGGAUUCGUUGGUUGGCGUAGUCGGUACUUCCGGCGGUGCCUCCUCUUCGUGUAUGGUUAUCUUCUCUCUCCAUACCUGAACCGGUGCUACGAUCUCCUCAGGAUAAUUCUGUUUAAACUGUAUGUCUUCUGACCUUACCACUUCUCCUUCAUAGUCUGCCCAUCCGUCCUUGAUGAUUUCCCUCCUCUGGUUGCGGUUGUGUCGUUUUCUGACCUGCUUAGAGUCUUCAACAAUAUAGUUAGGGUCAGUAAAAUAGCGGCGUACCUUUUCUGAGGGGAAGUGCAUAUGGACUUCUGUUGACGGUCCUUAAUGCUCACAUUUAACCAUCAACUAAUCAUAGAAAAGGAUCCAAAUGCAACCAACACCUAGACUUAGGGUUUUAUCUGACAGAAUUCCACGAGUUUUGGUGUUUGUCUAUUUCUGUAGGGGGUUAUCAGGAAAUACGGAAGAAAGGCCCACACGUCGGGUUUACAUAGAGAUAUUAACGUGCCGCGCAAUUUUCUAUCAUCUAGAAGACUCCAGAAGCCACGGGACCGAAGCGGAAGCCGAGAGGCCUCAGGGACAGGGCGCCCGCCCUAGUCCUGAGGGCGCCCGCCCUCUCCCCUGGACCAAUCAGGGUGAAGUUCGGGGAUUAUGCUCCACCGACCUAAUACUUCAAGGAAAACCACACGAUCAAUGUCAGUUUGAUCCGACGGCCCAGAUUCACUUGAAGGGACUAUAAAACCAGACCCCCCUAGCCCCUGGAGAUCAUACCUCUUCUACAGAAUCAAAGUUAGGGUUUCAAUUCUUCAUCCAAGUAGAGAGGAUCCCUCUAGUUCUUCUAGUUCUACCUCUAGUUCAUCUAGAUCUAGUUCUAGUUCAUCUAGUUCUAGUUCUAGUUCCUCUAGUUCUAAUUCUAGUUAGUUCUAGUUGUAAUCUAGAAAAUAGGGAGAGAGAAGAGGAGAGCGGAGGAGGAGCCGGAUCUGUCGGAUCUUCCUCAACAUUGUACUUUUGCAGCAACUGGUUCGUUCUUCAUCGUUCUCCAGGUUCUUCAAUUCAUAACUCCUGAGUUCUCUAAUUACUUUUAUUUACAUUUAAGUUAUUUAUUGGAUUCCCGCUUGCAUCAAGUGCUCUAGUCUUUAUAACGCUAGAGUAGUAAUUAAUAGAUUAGACGUGGUGUUUAGUCUUGCGAUUACCUGGAAUUGCACCCAAUCCUGCGGAUUGUUGUGGUAGCCUUAGGGUAGUGACAGCCCUAACGGUCGACGUAUUCCACCACGUUCGGAUCGGUGUUUGUAGGACCGUAGUCAGACCUUCCUAGCCCCCUUCUCAUCUCUUUCUGUGGUUAGUGCUCUGAUGUCCCGAUAUAGAUAAUCUUGAAGUAAUUCUUGAUUCUUAGAUCAACUAGAGAAUUCUGAGGAAACUUCCUCUCUUCCCACCAAAAACAAUUAUAUAGUUAUCCUUAGGCGAUCUUGAUUCUUAAUUAGUACACUCACGUUCUCUGUGGAAAAUCGAUACUCUGGAAUACUCCCGGGUGAAAGCUACAUCGGUAUCCGUGCGCUUGCGGAUUUUUCUGUUUGUGUUUAAAAUACCCAACAACUUCUCUGGUUCCAAUGUAGAUGAUUGCUUUAACGGUGCUGAGGAACGGUCUUCCAAGGAUGAUGAGUGGAUCGUAUUCGUCUUCUCCCAUGUCAAUAACCUGAAAGUCUGUGUAGACAAAAUGAUCGUCUAUUUUGACUAGGACAUCAGUUACUAUUCCUUUAACUUCUUGAAAUGUCUGAUCUGCCAUCUGGAGCUGAAUGUAUGUUGGUUUUAGGGGAAUGGUUCCGAACAAGAGCCGAUAGGUGACUGCGGCCAUUAUAUUGACGCCCGAUCUGGUGUCGCAAGUCGUCUUGUAGAAGUUAUAUCCAUUUGUGGAGCAAUAGAUGCUUGGCAUUCCUGGGUCGUCCUUCUUGGUCAGAAAUGGUGACUUAAGUUGAUGAUCUUGACCUCCUUGAACUGCAGUGACCAUCUUAGCUGACUCGCUCCAUACUUGCUUGUUCCUAUUCCUCCUGUUGGUCCUCUUCCUUGAUUCACGUCUGGAUUGAUCUGGGAUUUGUGUAAUCUUGUUCUUGAAGGAAAACGUCUCCUUCUUCCCUUUGAUGUAGAAACUGAUCUUGGCAGCACUAGCAUAGAUGACAGCUCCCGAGGUGUUCAAGAAUGGCCUCCCUAGAAUGAUGGGUGCUCUCUCAUCAUUAUCGGUCUCUAUCACCACGAAGUCUGCUAGGGCAUAUAAGGUACCAACUCAGACACAAAGGUUCUUCAAUAUUCCUUUUGGAAAACUUAUCGUCUGAUCUACAAACUGCAAACACAUGGUUGUCUCUAAUAAAGGAUAUGUAAAGAAUUUUUCAUAGAGUACCCUGGGUAUAAUGUUGACACUAGAGCCAAAGUCGCAGAGUGCUUCUGGGAUGUCCACCAUGCCCAUGGAGAUCGGGAUGACAGGGCGUCCUGGAUCGCCUCUCUUGACCGGCAGAAGGUCAGUAGUAACUUCAGUGACGGGGUUACUCCAAUUACCUGCAUCAAACAUGUCUACAAGAUUUACAGAUUCUAAUCCUUCUGGUUGUGAUGGUAUAACGGGGUUAGUAGCAGGAACAGCAGCAUCUAUUUGGUUUAACUGAGAUUCAAUCAUUUUAUUAAAGCUAAUUUGAUUCUUGAUGGCAGUAGAGAAAUUAUCCAUUCUAUUGUCUAUAUUUUCUAGCAUUUUAUCAUUAGAUGCCAAUUUCAUAGAUAGGUUAUCCAUUAGCUUUCCUUGAUUAGACACCAACUCUCUCAGAGGUGGAAAAGUAUUAUUAUUGUUGUAAGAAUUAUUACCUUGAUAAUUACUUGAGUAGUUAGGCCUCUGUUGAUUCCAACCGUGGUUUUGUUGAGGACGGUUGUAGUAGUUGUUGUUAUUGUUGUUGAUGUAGUUCACAUCCUCAAGCAUCUCAGGGCAGUGAUUGCCUGAGUGUCCAGUGUCUCCACAUUCCUCACAAGUCAUGUGAGAGUCGUAGAUGUGCAUAACUUCGUUCUUAUCUCCAGCUCUAUCAUCGAGCUUCUUCAUGAGCAGGUCUAGCUUUGCAGACAGCAUGUCUACCUCCUUGAGCUGAUGCAUACCUCCACCUCUCUUGCAUGUCUGGGUCCUCUCUUCAUUCCAGCCUUGGUUUGACGCCAUCUUCUCCACAAGAGCUGUGGCUUGUGAUAUGGUAAGUGAUAAGAAUGCUUCUCCAGCUGCAACAUCCAUGGUCUCUCGGGUACUAUUGCCGAGCCCAUGAUAAAAUGUCUGCAUUAGUAGCUAACUCUCCAUUCCAUGACGGGGACAUUCUAGGAUGUAGUCUUGGAAGCACUCCCAUGCUUCUGGAAUGGAUUCAUCAUGUUGUUGCUGAAAACUUAUAAUUUUCCGACGGAGAGCAUUGGUCUUGCCCAUGGGAAAGAACUUAGCCAGGAAGUUUGUUGAGCAGAGUGCCCACGUAGUAUUCUUCUCCUUUGUAGCGUAGAACCACUGCUUCGCUCUUCCUAACAGUGAGAAUGGGAAGAGGCGAAGUAGUAUAGCAUCUCUAGGGACUCCUGAGAUGGCGAAUGUGCUGCAAAUCUCCAGGAAGUGUUGGAGAUGAGCACUAGCAUCUUCGUGUGCCUUCCCACAGAACUGAUUGGAUUGCACCUUGUUUAUAAGUACAGGCUUUAGCUCAAAGUUGUCAUCGAUCUCUGCAGCAGGUCCAGUAUGGAUGUUGUCCAUAGUGGGAGCUGAGAACUCACGGAUCGAUUUGUUUGCCAUGGCUUCGAACUCUGAAGACAAGUUCCGGUGAUCUUCUUGAUUGGUUGAAGCUUCUUGCUGAAGUGUUGAUGAUCUGUUCUUGAGCUUGGCUCUAGUUUUUCUGAAUAAGGCUUCAGGAUUGUCAACAAAAGUUCCUGGAAGAUGUCUUCUAUUCAUACAUUCCCCUACAUAAGAUAAAAUAGAAAAUACCAGGGUAAAACUGUAUGAGAGAAUUGAUAAGCUCAAUCAUAUUAGUGAUGCGAAUGAUAACUCAAAAUCCUAUAUUCAUUCCUGAUUAGUAAUCAACCUUCCCCAGCAACGGCGCCAAAAAUGCUGGUUGGGUAUUCUUAACAUCAUUACCAAAAGUAGACUUAGUUUUCUAAUUCUGAUAACGGUGCCAAAAAUGCCAAACCUAUCUCUCAUACCAUUUAAGCCAAGUUGUCAUCCCCAGCAUGACAUGAGAGACGCGGUAUUGAAAUAUGCAAUUGCUCUUCUAAGUAAAUAAUAAAUGGGAUCUGCAAGCGCACAAAUUAAUACCGAUGUAGCAUUUUAACCGGGAAGUAUUCCAGGUAUCGUUAUUUAUAUUUUUACCACUAGGAAGGGAUUAGUAACCAUCAAUAUUGAUUAUAGAAUAGAAUAUGAGAUUGAGUAUCUAUCAUUGCAUGUAUAAUUGAGAACAUUUAUCUAACUCUUUCAUACAGGGAUAAGUGUCACAUAAAAGAUAUAUGAAAUAAUGAAUAGUGACAAAGAUAAUUAAUCUGAUCAGCAUAACUUAGCCACAUAUAAAUAUGAUAAGCACCUCAAUUAGAUAUUCUAGCAAGUCAUUAGCAUGGUAUUAGAACGAACUACAAGAAUAUUUCCUAAGUUAUUCUCAACUAUAUAGUCUAGCAUUAUCAUAGUUAGUGUAAGCAUACUUAGCAAUCAUUGUGAGACAAGACUACGCCCAUGCAUAGUGAUAUUAGCAAGGAAUAUGAGAAACAUAGCAAUCACUCCCCUGUAAUAAUGUUGCUCUGCCAGCCCAAUACACGAGAGGGGGACUAUAUAAGAAUCAAUGAAGCUGUCACUAUCACGAACUACACCACGAUCUGGCAUAUUGGGUACAAUCGCAGAUAAAUACGGUAUAAGCACCACGCCUACACAAUAUCUAUCAUUUACCCAUGGAUCCGAUGGAUAAACGCUAUACGAUCCCAAACAUGUAUAUAGAUCCAAUCUAACUAAGCCAAGUAUAUAACCAUGAUAAACUAAGAACAAUAUAAUCUUGAAUAUAAACAAGUAGAGCAAAGUCAUAAGCAAUAUAUUGGAGUAGAACAAAGUCAUAUUCAUAAUAUUGAAGAACAAAGAUGAACAAUUAGAGAAUUACCAAGAAUCCUCUUGAUAGAUCUGGAAACCAAUCGAAGAUUGACUCCUUCUAGUUCUAAUCCUAUGUAGCUAUUGUUGACGGUUCUUAAGUAUCAAUUUUAAUUAUUAAAUAAACAAGGGAAAGGACCAAUAUGCAACCAACACCUAGAAUUAGGGUUUGAUCUGACAGAAUUCCAUGAGUUUUGUUGUUUAUCUGUUUCUGCAGGGGGUUAUCAGGAAAUAAGGAAGAAAGGCCCACAUGUCGGGAUUACAUAGAGAUAUCAACGCACCGCGCGAUUUUCUACCAUCUAGAAGACUCUAGAAGCCACGGGAAGAAGGCAGAGGCCGAAAGGGGCCAGGCCCAGGGCGCCCGCCCCCUGCUGGAUGCCAAUCAGGACUCUCUUCGCACGGGAUGUUCCACCGACCUAUUGGAUCAAGGAAAAUAUAGUACCACCUCGCCUACCGACCCAAAAACGCAUAGAGGAGGAGGACUAUAUAAGGAGACCCCCCUUGCCCCUGGAGAAGACAUGAAGAAAUUAUCAUAGAGAUUGAGGGGUGCCCUCGAAGGAAAACCUCUUCUCUAAUUAAUAUUUCUUUUUAGGCUUAGCAAACAAUGUAAAGUAGAAAUAGAUGUUCUAGUUUCUACUAGAUUGAGAGAGAUAGAGUGGAGGUGUAGAUUAGAGGAAGCCCGGCCUAUCGGUGUCUACUCCAAGCUUGUACCUGCGGGAUCAAGUUCUCCUAACCCGAAGCUUGCUCCUAGGAUUCUUCAGUAUUUCGACUUCUAAAUUAUACUAAGUUCUUGUUUUAUUGUUCUUCUGGUUUAUGAGUUUACUUUAAUCUCUUUGCGUAGAGUUUAGAGCAAUCAUUGCUGGCGUAAACGUGGUGUUUAGGCUGGGGAACUCAUAGAUAUUCCCUGACUAGCUGGACCGUGGUAGUAGCGAGGAACGUGACAAUUCCGAGUUACCUUUGCAGACCAUAUCGCGUUAGCAGGAAGGAUAGGGUUUAUAGGUGCGGGUUGAACAUCCUUUGUGGUGUCUAGAUUCCGUUAGCCUCCCCAAUAGAACAGUAGAUCAUCCUUACCAAGGUUAGAAGGAGACUACGGUUGCAGUCUUCUCUAUUUAUCACUCACAUCGAAAGACAUUCUUUGUUGCCUAAAGGUUAGUAGUAAUAGACCGGUUAGUCAGAUGCACUCUUUCUCAUAGUGGUAAAAAAAUAAAUACGAUACUUUGGAUAAUUUCCCGGGUGAAAUGCUCACCGAUAUCCGUGCGCUUGCGGAUCAAUUCCUUAUUGUGUUCCCAAAUAUCAAAAAGCAUUUCUGGCGCCGUUGUCGGGGAGAAAGACGGUUGCUGAGAUAACCUGAGUCUUACUACUGGCGCCGUUGUCGGGGAGAAAGACGGUUGCUGAGAUAAUCUAUACUUUUAUCUUUUCUUAUCUUUUAUAUUCUUUAUUUAUUUUCUUUACUCUUACCUUAUGGAAAACCAAAAUUCUAAAUCGAUCCAUGAGUCUGCAAUCCCUUCAGUAACUGACCUUUUACCAUGGGAAUCAUCACAGCUGUUGACACUUGCUAACACCACUUGAAUACUAGGUUGUCAUCCCUAGCAUGGCACUAGAGUGUACUAUGGUAUUUAUACACACACAGAUAAUCCGCAAGCGCACGGAUACCGUUGAAGCUUUCACCCGGUUAAAGGUUUUAUCGUAUCCACAGGGAAACGGGAGAACCAACUACGCUCUAACUUAACCAAGAUAGAUAGAUAGUGUAAAUAGGAAAGAUGGUAGAAUUGAAUAAGAACAAUAUUAAAGGUAAGAUAACAAUAGGUGAUAAUAUGGGAAUAGAGAGUAGAGCAAUUCUAGUAUAUGGGCGAUGGUAGCAGAAUAGAGAGAAUAACUAUGGCUUCUCUACUUCAAAGGGGUAUGUCUAUGUCCGGGACGAACCACGUGAUAAGAUUACACCACAAAGGAUGCUUAUCCAUAGGCCGAUAAACCCUACCCGUCCUGCUAACGAGAGGUGGACUACAGAGGACCAACGUAACUGUCACCUACGCGGCCUACCACACGAUCCAGCUAGACAGGGGAUAUCCAAAAGUAAUCUAGGUCUAAGCACCACGCUUACACCUAUACUACAACUCUCACCUAUAGCGUCCUAUAGAUUAGAAUACUCAAAAGAGUUGUGAACCAGAACAUACAUAAUUAGUAAUUGCAAAAUGAAUUAGAAGUAGAUUACCAGAGUCAUCCCAUGAGCAAGCUUGAUUAGAGCUUGAUCAUGACGAAGUACAACCGGAGGAAGAACCGACAGGCCGGCCUCUCCUCUAAUCCUCCUUCGCUCUCCAUCUUGCUACUAUCUAGAUCUACUCUAGUUUAGAGAAGAGAAGAGAGCUCUCAUCUCUAAACCCUAGCUUUUGCUCUGUCUAUGAAUAAUGAAUAAUGAUCAAGGGGUGCCUCCUCCAGGGGCUAGGGGGUCUGGUUAUAUAGUCUUUUCAGAUGAAUCUGGGCCGUCGGAUCAAACCGACAUUGAUCGUGUGGUUUUCCUUGAAGGAUUAGGUCGGUGGAGCAUGAUCCGCGAAGUUGAAGCUGAUUGGUUACUGUAGCUGGGCGGGCACCCAAGGGACUUGGGCGGGCGCCCUGCCCCCGGGCCCGAUCGGCCUCCCGUUCGUUCCCGUGGCUUCUGGAGUCUUCUAGAUGAUAGAAAAUUGCGCGGCACGUUAAUAUCUCUAUGUAAACACGACGUGUGGGCCUUUCUUUCAUAUUUCCUGAUAACCCCCUGCAGAAAUAGACAAACACCAAAACUCGUGGAAUUCUGUCAGAUAAAACCCUAAGUCUAGAUGUUGAUUUCAUUUGGAUCCUUUUCUUUGUUUAUUUGAUAAUUAAAUUUGAUACUUAAGGACUGUCAACAAACUCCCCCAAGCUUACCUCUUGCUCGUCCCUGAGCAAGGAUAGACUCAGCAAUCGAUCAGAAGUUGUUGCAAUAUCUUAAAAAUUUGACGGUACACAUGCUUUUAAAUAAGAUCUCAUCUCUGAGUUAGAGUAAACUGUCAAGAACUAAAACUUACUUACUUUACCUUUCACCAUAGGACUUGUAACCGUCACUUCUGUCUUAAGUAGUUAAAAGAUAGAACAGUCUAGCCAAGUGCCAUGUCUCUUAUCCUUGAUCAGCUAUAGCUCUAGAGUUUUUGCAGAUUUUCAAAUAAAACUCAGAGAUUCCUUGUAUGACUCUCUAAAUCUCUCUUUUGUGGUAUUUCUGGAUCCUUACCAAGGCAGUGAUGGUAUAUGUCUUCUCUCAAGAUAUGUGGUAUUUGUGGUAUAAGGCAUAGUGACAUUACCUUCUCUCUCACCCAACUUUAAUAAGGCUUUAAUAUCUGGAGCUCAUAGGUGGGAGAUAAAGUAUACAUACUUACAAGACAUUUAUUGCAUAGUCAAACCAUGGAUCCAAAGAAACAAAUCAUUAAGCCAAAUCAAGAUGUGCAUGUGUGGCGAAUGAAUAGUGUGUGGUGAUGAUGGUGGUAAUGGUGGAAGUCUAAUUCUACUUUUGCUCUUUUGAGGGGAUACAUACCUUCCUUGCUUUCUGAAACUUUAUGAGGAGAAUGAGAUGCUCUUCUUUUUCUUUCCUCUCAGGUGGGUAUCUUGUACCCCUAAUUCUACUGUCGGACACUUGUCCAUUUUUACCUCUCGUCUCACUUUUUCUUUGUUUCUUUCGAGGUUCCGGGCACUUGCCCCUUUUUAUUUCCUCGUAUUUUUCUUCUUUUUUUUUAGAGCACUCAUCUCAUGAGAUAAUAUAGCAAGUGGUAGUAACAAGAUAACUUGAGUAUUUAUUUCACAAGGAAGAAACAGAAAUAUUUUUGGUUAUUCUCUCCCGGAUUAGGAGUAGAAUAUUUUUGGGUGGCUCUGGAGAUGGAAAUGAGUGGAUAUAUGUGGAUGGUACUUCCGGAGUAGAAGCAGCAUGUAUGAGUGAACGUGCAAGUGAAUCUUGAUUUACCCACAUGACAAGCUCCUAAGGGUCUACACAGCUUGACCACACUCAAUGCUCAUAAGCAGUAAAUAACAAAUGUGUGGCUCAAAGUCUAGCAAGCAUGUAUAUAUGGCUGUGGUAGGAAUUUAAACUUUCAUCAUACAGGAACUCAUCAUGCAAUAUUUUAAAGAUUUUUCAAAGAUAAAAUUCUCCAGAAUUCUAGCAUCUCUAGGAAUAGAUAAACAGUAGCUCAACCUUCCCAUAUCAUAUCGGUUAACAACUUAGAUUUCAGAUCAAGUUUUCAUCCCACAAGUUUAGAUCUAGAGCAAGCUUUAAAUUAUAACAGUUAUGUCUAAACUUGAGAGAGAACUUCAAAUUUGCAAAUUAGGCAGAGCAACUAUUCAUCAUAUCCAUGCUAGAGUUUUAUUAUUAAGAUUCAGAUUAGCAUACCACUUUAUUUAUUUAUUAAACACAGUAAGCAAAAGAUAUAUAUAUAUAUAUAAGCACAAAAUCUUUAUUUGGUUUUUCAUAGUUUAUGUAUUUUAAUAUUCUAAUAUAAUAUAAGUAUAAAGAUAGGUAGAAAUACUUAGCGAGAUAAAUGGGGGUGCUCUCCCCCAAGCUGAAUUUUGACGUAAUUUCUCUUGAUGUAGCUAGCAGGUGGCAGAGGUGUAUUUGAAAGUCAGCAGCAUUCUGACAGCGAUUAGAAUGUCCUCCGUGUGCUAGUCUUCUUGAUUCUUAAAUUCUGUGGAGCUCAAAUAGACAACAAAGCUUGUGGAACUAAUUAAGUGUUAGCAUAAAUAUAUAGCCUUCAUCAUGUUGAGCUUCCUCAAUAAAUAUUACUCCCUGUUUUUAUAUUUUUAUUUUAUAAAGUAGAAAAGAAAUAUUUAUUUUAUUUUUAUGCCACCACAGUGACGGUACUUAUGGGUUUUAUGCCACUCGUAUACUCACGUGGGCUUAGUAUUUUUUAACAUUUUUAUUUUCUUUUCAAGAUAGCAUGAUUUAACUAAUAAUCUAUUUAAGGAAAGUAAAUAAUUAAAGGGAAAAGGAAUUGCAGAACGGAUAAAUAUGGAUAACUACCGAUCUUACCUUUCGGCGAUGGUUCAAUGUUUUAAGUCUUCUUGGCAAGACUUCUCACCGUGUUCAUUCUUCAGGUGCGUCAUUUGAUUCAGGUGCGGACCUUGACGUCUGCACCUCUUCGUUUGCCCAACAGUUCGAAGUGCGGCGUUGGCAGUAUCCUGCUCACUGUAUUUGAGCUCGUAGAUCCAGGUCCUUCACUUGGUAGAGUCUGAGAGUUAUAAAUCUCCUCCAUGUUUUGCUCGAAGUGUACCUGCUCAUAGAGACAAGGUAGAGAUCAAGUGCAUGGGUCCUGUUGGUGGAAAACACCAACAGAACCUAAAGUGUAUUUGUUCUUCUCUAACCCUAAGCAUAGUGAGCAAGACAAAGUUGAUGAAUGAUAAGUUCAUGAGUGUAGCAUUUAAAACAUUUGCCGGAUCAGGUCACUCAACCUAAUGGAAAGAUAAUCUAUCUAUAUCUAUGCCAUUUUCUUUAUAUCUUCCCAAAGAUUAAAUGCGCAACAUUUUAGCUCAUAUGACUUGGAGUGUGGGAUCACAAAAGUGGAAGGACUAAACAUGUUGAAUCGAUUGGGUUGGUUAACCUAGAGUUGUAAUUCAUACAUGUUUGUCUCUUUUAUUCAUAUGAACGCCAGAACCAAGGAGAAGCUUAUAAAAGUGAUAGUCAAGUACCUUAAGAUGUUACCUUAAUUGAAGAGUGAUGGUACCAUCUUACCUUGUGGAAGCUUCCCAUUCGUAGUGGUUGUGCAUCGUGUACCCUCCAUGGAUCAUCUCUUAUGAGCUACGUCUUCCUUGUGUAAAUUGUUAAACUUCAUGUGUCACUCUCUUCAUCUCCAAUGCGAGUUUAUGUCAGGACUUCCCAGGUUGAUAUUGAAAGUUUUCCUGUAGGGGUUAGUCUGACAAAAAUAUACCAAUGUCUACACAAGCAGUUUUUAGUUCAGUAACCGAACUAGACUCCAUGUCUAAUCAGAUUAAGGAAGGCUGUUUAACCUAAGCACCAUGCUUAAUUUAAAAGCCAAUAGAAGUAUGUGCAGUACUUCCAAACUAACACUUACUAGUAAAUAGACAAAGGUAGCAUGACAGCAUUUAUAGAGAUCUACUCAAGUGGAGAUGAAGUAGUGUGAUUAGUAUUUAACAAAUUGAGCAUGUCUUAAAGGUAGGGACAACCAACAUAGCAACAUGGCAAAGGAUGUUUUUAUGUAAAGUACUCCCCCAAGCUUGAAUUUUUGCAGAAUUCAAGUUUGGAUGAAUUUAAUUCAAUGUUGUAUGAUAAUUGGUUGGACAUACCUUGUGCUUGUCAUUCCUCGGAUCUUCUUGCUCCAAUCCUGGAAAGGUUAAUGACAAGAAUACCCGAAGGAAUAUUUCUACAAUCAUCUUAUAUGCUAAAUAUACAAGGCAAUGUUGCAAAUAAUUAAAAGUUCAUAUUACGGUCUGAUAAGUGCUUGUUUUAGGACACUAAGCUUGUCCUUGGGAAACCAUCAAAUUAUGUCGGCGAAGUGGUUUCCCCUCCAACGCUGACCUAUAUCAAGAUCAACUCAACGAGAUCUGCAAUAUUUAUUAUAGACAUAUGGAUCGACAACCGCCCUUUUAAAGUUUUUAUAAAUAGAAAAGAAGAGGGGGUUGGAGAUCUCAAAUGUGGUAAGGUUGGAGAGACCAAUAGAUUGAGAAGAUGUUGCAUUUGAGCAUGGAGUAAACGAAGUGGCUAUGAAAUAAAUUCGAUCCUUAUUAAUGUUAUCUUCGUCUCCAAUCUGAAUGUUCGGAGUUUCGCCUUGAUUGGUCUCACCUAUGUCCUCUUCUGUAGUUGGAUGAAUCUCAUCUUCAAAGGGAGUCAAGAACUCACUAUUUGAAAUUGAACCAAAGUCAGAAUUCAUUAAGGCUUCUUCCUUAUCCAUCCAUUCUACACAUUCUAGCCAUUUAGAACUUGUGAUCAGGAAAGGGGAGGUGUUAGAAUUUUCAAUAUGGCUUAGCUCUCCUUCACUUGAUAUGUCAUCCUCGACUUCUUCAUAACAGGAGCCAGGACAUUCUCUAAGAGAACCAUUAUUGCGAGGAUUUGAAUUAUCCCUGCUUGAAGGUCUCUUAUGGAACCAGAAGUCUAAACCAUCAGCAUCUGAAAGAUUUAAAGUCGGAAUUCCUUCCUCCCUUAGAGAAUUUUGGGGUAUUGAUGGUUUAGGAUUGAUAGCUAAAGUUUGGGAUUGAAGUGUUGGUGAUGUUGCUAUCGAAACUUCUUCUUCUUGUCUAGGAACUGGUUCUUUCUCUUUCUCAGGGAUAUAAAAGCUAGGAGACUUUCCGCUUAAUAAAUAAAUCAAAUUCCAAGCUUCACUAGCAGCUAGGUGAUAGAAGGACCCUCUAGAAGCUGUAUUCAAGGUUUGCUUAUUUUCCCCACUAAGGCCCUCAAAAAAGUGAAUUAGAAGAACUUCUUCUGGAAUAGAAAGCUUUGGGCCUGUGAGAGUAAGGUUAAUAAAGCGGUCCCAUGAUUUCCUAAGAGAUUCUUCUUCCAGUUGUCUAAAAGAAAUAAUCUCACGCUGAAGUUCCGCCACUUUAGAGAUUGGAAAAUAUUUUAAAAGAAAACUAUUAUGUAACUCCUUCCAAUCUCCAUGAACACUCCCUACUUUGAGUUUAUACCAAUGUCUAGCUUUUCCUGUUAAAGAGAACGGAAAGAGCUUCCAUUUGAGGGUCUCAUCGGACAUUCCUUCUAUGCGAAGGAGGUCACAGACUUGAUAAAACUCUCUUAGGUGUGUGUAUGGGUUUUCCUCACCUUCUCCUGAGAAAGGUUGUUUUUGAACAAAUUCUAUGUAUUCGGGGUCUAUCUCAAAACUAGAUGCUAUGAUAGGCUUUGAAGAUUUUGGUGGUUCGAGAUGUGUGCCCGUAGGUCUAUGAAAUUCAUAGAUAGACAUGUUUGAAUUCAUGAUAGACCAGAGAUCAAGGAUUAGAUAAGAAUAAAGAGUAGCAGAGAUAAGGCAAAGGAUAAAAGGAAAAAUAUAUUUUUUUUAUUAUUUAUUUAGAAAAUGAUUAAGCUAGUUCGUAGUCAACUCAGCAACCGUUUCCCCGGCAACGGCGCCAAAAAAUGCUUGUUGACACUUGCUAACACCACUUGAAUACUAGGUUGUCAUCCCUAGCAUGGCACUAGAGUGUACUAUGGUAUUUAUACGCACACAGAUAAUCUGCAAGCGCACGGAUACCGUUGAAGCUUUUACCCGGUUAAAGGUUUUAUCGUAUCCACAGGGAAACGGGAGAACCAACUACGCUCUAACUUAACCAAGAUAGAUAGAUAGUGUAAAUAGGAAAGAUGGUAGAAUUGAAUAAGAACAAUAUUAAAGGUAAGAUAACAAUAGGUGAUAAUAUGGGAAUAGAGAGUAGAGCAAUUCUAGUAUAUGGGCGAUGGUAGCAGAAUAGAGAGAAUAACUAUGGCUUCUCUACUACAAAGGGGUAUGUCUAUGUCUGGGACGAACCACGUGAUAAGAUUACACCACAAAGGAUGCUUAUCCAUAGGCCGAUAAACCCUACCCGUCCGGCUAACGAGAGGUGGACUACAGAGGACCAACGUAACUGUCACCUACGCGGCCUACCACACGAUCCAGCUAGACAGGGGAUAUCCACAAGUAAUCUAGGUCUAAGCACCACGCUUACACCUAUACUACAACUCUCACCUAUAGCGUCCUAUAGAUUAGAAUACUCAAAAGAGUUGUGAACCAGAACAUACAUAAUUAUUAAUUGCAUAAUGAAUUAGAAGUAGAUUACCAGAGUCAUCCCAUGAGCAAGCUUGAUUAGAGCUUGAUCAUGACGAAGUACAACCGGAGGAAGAACCGAUAGGCCGGCCUCUCCUCUAAUCCUCCUUCGCUCUCCAUCUUGCUACUAUCUAGAUCUACUCUAGUUUAGAGAAGAGAGGAGAGAUCUCAUCUCUAAACCCUAGCUUUUACUCUGUCUAUGAAUAAUGAAUAAUGAUCAAGGGGUGCCUCCUCCAGGGGCUAGGGGGUCUGGUUAUAUAGUCUUUUCAGAUGAAUCUGGGCCGUCGGAUCAAACCGACAUUGAUCGUGUGGUUUUCCUUGAAGUAUUAGGUCGGUGGAGCAUGAUCCGCGAAGUUGAAGCUGAUUGGUUACAGUAGCUGGGCGGGCACCCAAGGGACUUGGGCGGACGCCCUGCCCCCGGGCCCGAUUGGCCUCCGUUCGUUCCCGUGGCUUCUGGAGUCUUCUAGAUGAUAGAAAAUUACGUGGCACGUUAAUAUCUCUAUGUAAACCCGACGUGUGGGCCUUUCUUUCAUAUUUCCUGAUAACCCCCUGCAGAAAUAGACAAACACCAAAACUCGUGCAAUUCUGUCAGAUAAAACCCUAAGUCUAGAUGUUGAUUUCAUUUGGAUCCUUUUCUUUGUUUAUUUGAUAAUUAAAUUUGAUACUUAAGGACUGUCAACAACAGCCUAUCCAAACAUCCCAGUAUAAGUUAAGUUUUAGGUUGAUUGCCAUGAUUCAAAACCUAGCUUUUUCGGGAAAGGAAGACGAAAACCCUUACCUUCAUAUUAGAGAUUUUAAGCAAACAUGUGAUUGUCUUCGUAUUGAAGGCAUUUCUGAAAAACUUUACGUUGGAAGCUUUUUCCUUUUUCCUUAAGGGGAGAAGCUAGACAAUGGUACAGUCAGAAGGUAAGUCAACAACAAGGUGAAUGGGGAGUUUUAUGAGCCAACUUAGAAUCUGGUCCAAACCUUAAUCUUGAAGACCCUGUUCUUUUAUUUCACUUUUUUCGAGGUCUUCAGAAAAAUCACAAACAAAUGCUACACACAAUGUCUAGAGGUUCUUUCUUUCGCAUCCCUACUAAUGAAGCUAGAGUGAUCCUAGAUAGAAUCCUAGAAGCUGAGAUGGAUAAUACCCUUCAUGAUGAAACAUACGAAGCCGAAGUAGACACUCUGCCAAAUUCUUCAUCUACUUUAGCUAUCCCAAGUUCUGAGCCACAAGAGGAAGAAAUUCCACCACCGGACUUCAUGCUGGAUAUAGAAUCCGAUCUUUUUGCCGAUUUUGGAAACAUUUCAAACUACCAUUCUAUUGACAAACCCCAAAACGGCUAGUUUAGCAUUUAUUUGCCAAGUGAACAUCAAUUGAGAGAGCUUAUCUCAGUAAUGAGUAGCGAAUGGUUGGAGGAAUCAGAGCUUACCUCUGAUGUGAUCCGUUUGGACACACCCUCUAUAACUAUACGCUGUGCUUAUAAUUCUAAUCGAUUUAAUGCUCUUUAUAAUCCUGUUGUGGGGAUCAACAUCAUGUCUGAAUCUUUUGCACUUAAACUAUUUAAAACUCUUGUCUUAACCCCCACAACAAAGGUCAUAAAGGAAUCUUCAGGAUGAUUAGUCCCUAGUCUUGGAAUUAAUAAUGUCCUACCUCUUACGGUAGAAGGCUCCAUGGUUCAUUUGAACUUCUAUAUCUUUGAUACAUGGGACUUCAACCUGUUGAUAGGACAACCUUUUAGAAGACUCCUUUAUGAAGGUCAUACUGGAAAGCUACACAUUUCUUUUGGAAAAACCUUUAAAUUCCCAAUAACAAUUUCACACUCCUUAAACAAUAAGGCCGAACCAUAUCUUUUGCCUGAUCCUAUGGUGGAGGUAAAGGCUGCAUCUCUAGAGCUUUUAGAUGAACCAGACUUAGAAGACGAAACUCCUUUCUUCACAGAAGAAGAAGCCGAACCUUCUGAGCCUGAACCCUUAGAUGAGUUUGCAGAAACACCUAGACCCCCCAUAGAGCUUAAAACUUUACCACCCGGUCUUACAUAUGCUUUCCUAAACAAUAAUCGAGAGUUCCCUAUAAUCAUUAGCGAUAAACUCACUCAGGAUCAAACUCUGCGAUUAAUGACCAUUAUUGAGAAACAUCACUCAGUGUUCGGCUACUCACUCCAAGAUCUUACAGGAAUCAGUCCUAUGAUUUGUACCCAUCGUAUUCCAACAGAUCCUUCUGUUCCACCCUCUCCAGAACCCCAACGUAGACUUAAUAACACUAUGAGAGAGGUAGUUAAAAAGGAAGUUAUAAAGUUGCUGCAUGCAGGGAUUAUAUAUCCUGUGCCACACAGUGAGUGGGUAAGCCCAGUGCAAGUUGUGCCUAAAAAGGGAGGCAUGACUGUUAUUAUGAAUGAAAAGAAUGAGCUAAUUCCGCAACGCACCGUCACAGGAUGGAGGAUGUGCAUAGACUAUAGAAAACUAAACAAAGCCACGAGAAAGGAUCACUUUCCUUUACCUUUCAUAGAUGAGAUGCUAGAGCGGUUAGCGAACCAUUCGUUCUUCUGUUUCUUAGAUGGAUAUUCAGGGUAUCAUUAGAUCCCAAUCCAUCCCGAUGAUCAAAGCAAAACCACUUUUACAUGCCCAUAUGGAACUUAUGCUUAUCGUAGAAUGUCUUUUGGGUUAUGUAAUGCACCAGCUUCUUUUCAAAGAUGCAUGAUGUCUAUAUUUUCUGAUAUGAUUGAAGAGAUUAUGGAAGUUUUCAUGGAUGAUUUCUCUGUUUAUGGAAAAACUUUUGAUAGUUGUCUUGAAAACUUAGACAAGGUUUUGCAAAGAUGUGAAGAAAAGCACUUAGUCCUUAAUUGGGAAAAAUGUCAUUUUAUGGUUAGGGAAGGAAUAGUGCUGGGACACCUAGUGUCUGAAAGAGGUAUUGAGGUAGACAAAGCUAAAAUUGAAGUAAUUGAACAACUACCUCCACCUGUGAAUAUAAAAGGAAUUCGAAGCUUUCUUGGCCAUGCUGGUUUUUAUCGUAGAUUCAUAAAAGAUUUUUCAUUUAUUGCUAGACCACUUACUCUUUUGCUAGCCAAGGAUGCUCCUUUCGAAUUUGAUGAUGCAUGUCUAACAUCAUUCAAUUUAUUAAAGAAAGCACUCAUCUCUACACCAAUCAUUCAACCCCCUGAUUCGUCGUUGCCUUUUGAAAUUAUGUGUGAUGCUAGUGAUUAUGCUAUGGGGGCAGUAUUGGGACAAACUAAAAAUAAGAAGCAUCAUGCAAUUGCUUAUGCUAGUAAAACUUUGACAGGAGCUCAACUUAACUAUGCAACUACUGAAAAAGAGCUUCUGGCUGUUGUCUUUGCCAAUGAUAAAUUUAGAUCUUAUUUAGUUGGAGCUAAAAUAAUUGUUUACACUGAUCAUGCUGCACUAAAAUAUUUGCUCACUAAAAAAGAUGCUAAACCUCGCCUGAUUAGAUGGAUCUUAUUACUCCAAGAAUUUGACUUAGAAAUAAAAGAUAAAAAGGGAGUAGAAAAUUCUGUUGCUGGUCACUUGUCUAGAAUGUAUUUUAAGAGUCCACAGGAAACCCCCAUCAAUGAUUCACUCCGGGACGACAUGCUCUACGGGAUUAACAGGUCUGACCCCUGGUAUGCAGAUAUUGUUAGUUUUAUGGUUUCAGGGUAUGUACCACCAGGAGCAAACAAGAAGAAGCUUAUUCAAGAAAGUCGUUCACAUAUAUGGGAUGAGCCAUACCUCUUCCGAGUAUGCUCUGAUGGCUUACUUAGGAGAUGUGUGACCACUGAAGAAGGAUGGAAGAUCAUCGACAGAUGUCAUUCAUCACCAUACGGAGGUCACUAUGGAGCAUUCCGUACACAUUCAAAGAUCUGGCAGUGUGGAUUCUACUGGCCUACAAUGUAUGAAGACACGAAGCAAUAUAUCAGAAGAUGUGGGCCAUGUCAAAGACACUGUAACAGAACCGACCAAAUUAUAAGAGAUUAAGCCUAACAGUGACCAUUUGCAUAGUCCAACCAUCGAGCUUAAUCCCAUAUAAUCCCGGUAGUCCGUGAAAUCUCGAAGGAUUUCAAACCACAUAUCGUACAGACAGCCAAGAUCGUAAUAAGUUUAGCGGUCGCCAUCCACAAAUACAUCCAGAUUACAACAUUCAUAAAAUACAUCGGAGUUCUUAAAAUUAUUACAAACCAAGUUCUUCCAGUAGCGGAAGCUUCAUAGUUCGAAAUACAACACACACACUUAGUCUGAUACAGUGCCAUAGUUCGGUCAUUCCCACAAAAGCAGAAGAGAAGAUGGAGUGACCAUCGCCUUUGGUGUAGUCAUCACCCAUGGCUAGGUAUAGACAGAGGAUGCAAUAACCAUAGUACAUUUGACCAUCUACAAAACAACAUGGGAGUAGAACCCUGAGUACGAGAAUGUACUCAGCUAGACUUACCUGUCAUAAACUUAAAAUAAAGACUCUUCAAGGAUCAUGAAGGCUAUAUAGUGGGGUAGCUGACAACCAUUUUGCAUAACCGCAGGAUUUUAUUACCAUAACCUACAUAAAUCUUUCUUCUUGUAAUUUGCUCAAGUUGAAAGUAUCAUUACCUAUUAUCUAGGUUUGCACCUGCACUAUUACAAGCAAGUAUAGUGAUAUGAUAGUACCUCAUCAUAGCAUUCUUAAAACCAUUUAUCAUUAUAACCCAAGUGUUCCAUAGUCCUUACUACGAGGACGAAGCUCAUGUCAAGUGCUCACUAUCUAGGAGCGAUGGCGAUUCGAAUCGAUUUCUAACCAGCUGGCGAGUUUAUUCCCCACACAAACCUCACUCACUGAUCAAGUGAGCUACAGAUCACUGUAUUGCACUAUCCAGGACCAAUUCGCGGGUUCGACAGGCACCGCCCGUACCCGAGGACCGUUCCGGCGAUCGAGGUAUCAAAGGUAUACCAAGGUUGCGCGCCGCGCCCUAGUCGUUCUCCUCAACCAUCACCAAUACAGCGCGUACAUCGGGCCGAUUCCCGGCCCGGAUAGUGCUCAGGCUUCGCAGUCGGAACGACUUAUCCUUCCAGCUAAAUGUGGGGCAUGCGUUCAACAUGACAAGAGGGCCGUCAACGAUCGGUCCUUAAUUGACCCAGUCAGGGGCACUAUGGUCAACCCACCAUAAGACCCUGCCCGGUCUACAAUUCCAUUCACACUUGGUUAUUCUUUUCCCCAAAGCAACCACUGCUUAAUUAGGCAGGUAUCCACCUGUAUCUUGCAGGUGACAGGGAAUCACCCGAAUUCUACCGGACUAAGCAAGCUAAGCAUAGCCUCUGCGCCUAUCUACAUAGGACAAGGUAGAUAAACGAGUAGGGAUAACAAGGAGUACAUAUGCAUCAAUGGUAUCAACAAUUCCUAUCACUUAAAUGCAGUAUAGUAGAACAAGCAUAGCAUAUCAUGUAAGUUAGCGAGAAUAGGGAGACUUAGAAUGCUUCGGGGCUUGCCUUUCUCAAACGUGCUGGGCCGGUGAUCCGGACACUCCUGUAGCUCCUCUCCGGGUUCCGGUGCUUCCGGAGGUUCCUGCUCCUGAAUCUCCUCUGGCCCCUCGGGUCCCACCUCGUUCUCCUGCGAGCCUGUAUGAUGCAUGUGUGCUCAUGAGUGGAGUGCGAGAUGCCCGAGUGGAUGCUUGUAUGAGAAGGUACCAAAUGAUCAUGACAUGAUGCAUAGGUGAUUAACUUGGUCAUGCUCAUUACAAGGUAGUCAACAUCAUCCAAGAACAGACAAUUGAAUUAAACAUCUAUUGCAUUCUCUUCUACCAAUUGUUUUCAAGUGUAACCAGCAACCCACAUGAUGCUUCAAAAAUACACCAAACCCCUUUUUAUUCUAUUUAACCCAUAUAUAACAAUUCAUAAUUUUCUUUAUUUAUUUCUAGGCCCAUCAAAAUUUGCAUGCAGUUCUGUUCAUCCAUAAUUUCCACAAAAAUUACAGGAGACUUCCAGUCAAGCAUAAAGUCUACUAUAAUUUUUUCAUAAUUUUUGGAUACUUAUUUUGAGCUAUAAAAAUCACAAGAUUAUUACAUAAAGGCAAGUACAAUUACUCUACUAUGGUAUAAGUGACAAACAGCAGAUUUCAUAUUUUUACAAUUUGUCUAAUAUCAUAGGAAACAUCCACAAAAAUUUCCAGACUUAUUGCAUGAUCCAAAUUUUUAUUAAAAAUCAUAAACCACUGCCAUGCAAGCAUUUAAAUCACUAUAAAUUCAUUUAUACACCAAAUAAUGUGUAGCAAUAUUUUCCCAGUGAGUUAACAUACAUGCAGAGCCAACAAAUCAAGUUUCACAUUUUUCUGAGCCAUAUUUUAAUUACUAUGCAUUUUCUAAGUUUAGCAAAAGCAUGGAUUAAUUAUUUCUGUCCAGAAAAGGUGUUCAAACAUGACAUGCAAUUACAUCAAACUGUAGAUCUGAAAAUAUAGAGCACACCAAAAUUUAUUUCACCAAAUUUGGAGUUGUAGAACUCAAGAUAUGGAUUUUACAAGUUUUAAAUUGAUUUCUGGAAAACCUUUUCUGAAAAUCAAUUCGAAAAUGGGAUCAAAAACGCUAAAGACACCCAGAUCUACACCCAACGCGGUCCCCCUGCGGCUGACAGUGGGCCUCUGACCCCACUGGUCAGCGAGACCGAGAGGGAGAGCACCUCCGACGAGCAGAUCUCGCCGGCGAUGAGGUUCCCCGCCACGGGGUGAGCACCAUCGUGCUCCCCGCAGCGAGGCGCACCCAGCGUUACCCUCGGGUUGGCCGGAGGAUGGUCGGAGCACCUCCGACGAGCAUGCAUGGCGGCACGGCGGCGCUGCUCGCCGUGGCCAGGCUGCUCCGGUGCGGUAGAACAUGCGCAAGGGCUCCUCCGAGCUUCCCCGUCGCACUACGGAUCUAACGCGCCAAGAAGCAAGCAAAACGGGGCAGAAACGAGCGAGGUUCGACGCGGCGGAGCUCUCCGACGAGGUCGGAGCAACUCCGAUGAGUGAUUCAUGGCGUUCGACGGGCUCUCACCUCGGUAGAGCAUUCGCAGGAGCUUACCGCGACGACGGCGAGUGCGCUGGUGGUUUCGGCGUCGAGAUUGGGGCACUGGAGUGGCCGGCGGUGAGCAGCGGAGCUGCUCCGGCGAUGGCGCUGCGGCGGAGCUCCUACGGCUGCGGUUGCGCUCGCGAGUGGAGGGAGGAGGGAGAGAGGCGCGGGCGACAGAGCGAAUGGAGUGGCCUAGGAGCCCGGGCCGGCGUCCCGACCAGGUGAAGCCGGUCGGCCGCGGCGCGCUCCUCGCCUGCGUACUACCGCCGUGUGGCCGACGCUGGCUGGGACGAGGCGGGCGUCCGCACGCGGGAGAGAGGGAGAGGGGGAGGCAGGCUGGGCCGCUGUCUCGGCCGAAAGGGAGGCGGGGUUGGCCCAGCAGCGCCUGCCCCUUUUCCAUUUUUUUUGAAUUUCUUUUCUCAAAUUAUUUUCUAAAUUCAUUUAGACCAAUUUAAAUUCAUUUUCACCUCUUUCUCCCUAAAAGCAAAGUUAUUCCAAAACAAAAACCCUACAACUUUGUUUUAAUAAGCAAGGCCAAAUUCCAAGUAGAAUUUGAAUUACCAAUUAAAAGUAGUUCUAGGUUUUCAAAUAAAUUCAUUUUGGGGGAUUUUGUAUAAAUUCCAUUUCUCAAAUUCUAUUGCUCCAAAAAUUGCACAAAAAUAUUUUUAAACCUUCUUACACAUAAAUAAACCUAGUUUGAAUAUUCCACAAUUUUAGAAUCAAGCAUCAUAUUUUUAACAUAUUGAAAGCACAUAGAAUAAAACACAUAAAAUCAUAUUUUGGGAUGAAUGACAUGCUCAUGAUGCUAUGCUUGAUGAGAAUGCUUAUGCAUUGCUUUGGUAAGGCUAAGUGCAUGCUUAACACCUAGGGUGUUACAGCCCUUCCCCCCUUAGGGAAAUCUCGUCCCGAGAUUUGGGUUACUAACCAUUUCUUAUGAAAUUUUGGAUAAACUGUUUUUAGAUAAUCCUCAGUUUCCCAGGUGGCAUCCCGAUCGUCAUGAUGACUCCACACCACCUUGUAUGUUCUGACAACUCUGUUUCGGGUUACUCGUUCUUUGGUAUCCACAAUUCCCACUGGCUGCUCUUUAUACUCUAAGUCUGCUUUUAUUUUGAUCCCUCGAGGUUCAAUCCUCUGUUCAGGCACUUUCAAACAUUUCCGUAGUUGCGACACAUGGAAGACCGGAAAGAUCGAACUCAAUUCUUCAGGCAACUGAAUCUUGUAGGCCACGGGGCCUUUCCUCUCCAGUAUUUGAUACAGUCCCACAUAUCUGGGUGCAAGCUUGCUUCGAACUCGGAAAUGUUGAACUUUCUUCAGUGGCGUAACCUUGAGGUACACAUAGUCACCUACUUUGAAUUCAAGUGGCCUUCUCCUCUUAUCAGCAUAACUCUUUUGUCGCGAUUGUGCCGCUUGCUUAUGUUGCUGUAUGAUUUGCACCUUUUUCUCUGCUUCAUUCACGAAGUCGAUACCGUAGUAUCUCCUUUCACCAGGUUCAACCCAAUUUAACGGAGUUCUACACCUUCGACCAUACAAAGCUUCGAACGGAGCCAUCUUGAUACUCUCUUGGUAGUUGUUAUUGUAUGAGAAUUCAGCCAGAGGUAACCAUGACUCCCAUGAUUCCUUGGAUGAUAGCACACAGGCCCUCAGCAUAUCUUCUAACACUUGAUUUAGCCUCUCAGUUUGACCUGAGGUUUGGGGAUGAUACGCGGUGCUUCUUAUUAGACUGGUCCCCAAACUCUUAUGCAUUCGCUCCCAAAAGUGAGCGAUGAACUGUGGUCCUCUAUCUGAUAUGAUGGUCUUGGGAAUACCAUGCAACUUGACAAUCUCGGCCAUAUAUAUAUCGGCAUACUCGGGAGGUCUGUAUGUGUUCUUAACUGGGAUGAAAUGAGCCGACUUGGUUAAUCGAUCUAUGAUUACCCAAAUCGAGUCAUUCCCCUUCCUCGUGGUUGGUAAACCUGUGAUAAAGUCCAUGCUGACCUCUUCCCAUUUCCACUCGGGAACUGAUAACGGUUGCAACAGACCUACAGGUUUCAUAUGGAUGGCCUUAACUCUGCAACACGUGUCACAACGGGCCACAUAUGCGGCUAUUUCUUUCUUCAUCUUGGUCCACCAAAAGUGGGGUCUUAGGUCUUGAUACAUUUUACUACUGCCAGGGUGAAUAGAAACCUUAGAGAUAUGGGCCUCAUCCAUGAUACGAUUCUUCAAUUCCCGAUCCUUCGGGACUACUAACCGAUGUUGAAACCACAGUACCCCUUUUUCAUCAACUCAAAACUGAGUUUUUGGGUCAUCUUUGAUCUUCUCUUUGAUGUGGAAAAUACCCUUGUCUGUUUUCUGACCUUCAAUGACUUGACUCUCGAGCGAACAACUAAGUUGUAUGUGACAUAAGACUUCAGGAUGCAUGAGGUUAAAACCAUCUUCAAACAACGGUUGAACCACCUGAUAGUGCGGUUUACGACUCAAAGCGUCUUCUACUACAUUAGCUUUGCCUGGAUGAUAGUGAACUUCCAGAUCAUAGUCCUUGAUUAGCUCUAACCACCGUCGUUGCCUCAUAUUCAGCUCGGACUGAGUGAAGAUGUACUUCAAGCUCUUAUGAUCGGUAUAGAUAUGACACUUAUUUCCCAGCAAAUAGUGUCUCCAAAUCUUCAAAGCGUGCACUACUGCUGCUAACUCAAGGUCGUGAGUUGGGUAGUUGACUUCGUGCUUUCUCAACUGUCAUGAAGCAUAAGCUAUCACUCUGCCAUCUUGCAUCAACACACACCCCAAGCCACUUUUCGACGCGUCGCAAAACACAUCAAAAGGCUUCUCGAUAUUGGGUUGCGCCAGAAUGGGAGCAGUGGUUAGCAACUUUCGCAAGGUGCGGAAGGCUAGCUCACACCCCUCCGUCCAGACAAACUUAUGAUCCUUUUGUAACAAACUGGUCAUUGGCUUAGCAAUCUUGGAGAAGUCAGGUAUGAAACGACGAUAAUACCCGGCCAGACCAAGAAAACUUCUAACUUCUGAGACAGAAGUUGGUGCCUUCCAGUCCAUGACUUCCUGCACUUUUGACGGAUCCACAACAAUCCCUUCUUUAGAUAGAAUGUGCCCCAGGAAUGGAACUUUCUUCAACCAGAACUCACACUUGCUGAACUUGGCAUAUAACUGAUGCUCUCGUAAUCGUGUUAACACGAUUCUCAGAUGCUCGGCGUGAUCUUGCUCAUUUUCUGAAUAAACCAGAAUAUCAUCGAUAAACACCACAACAAACUUAUCUAAUUCUGGCAUAAAGACUGAAUUCAUCAGAUACAUAAAGUAUGCAGCAUUUGUCAACCCAAAGGACAUGACAAGAUACUCAUACAACCCAUAUCUGGUGGAAAAAGCAGUCUUCGGUUUAUCCUGCGGACGAAUCUUGAUUUGGUGAUACCCAGACCUCAAAUCUAUCUUGGAAAACACUUUUGCCUUGGACAACUGAUCAAACAAGAUAUCAAUCCUUGGCAAAGGAUACUUAUUUUUGAUGGUCACUACAUUUAGCGGACGAUAGUCCACGCACAUGCGCAAAGACUGAUCCUUCUUUUUCACGAACAACGCUGGACAACCCCAUUCUGAUGAACUUGGCCGGAUGAACCCUUUAUCCAGUAACUCCUUUAGUUGAUUCUUCAACUCAGCAAGUUCGUUUGGUGGCAUCCGGUACGGCCUUCUAGAUAUUGCUGUUGUACCUAGUAUCAACUCGAUUGCAAACUCUACUUCCCUAUCCGGAGGAAGUCCUGGCAAUUCCUCGGGAAAAACAUCAUGGAACUCACAUACCACGGGUAUGUGUUCUAGUGGAACCACCUGUACUGCACACGAAAGACUGGCGAAGUCUAACCGUCGGGGUAGCUUGACCUGAAGCACACCCUUCCCUUGCGGGUCUCUGAGGGAAAGAGUUCUAUUCCCGGCAUCUAUAACCGCGCCCCAGUCAGUCAUCUUUUUCAUUCCAAUGAUGACAUCCAAAACCAGCCCUAGCAUGACCACAAGGUUUACGCGAAACCUCCGGCCACUGAUAUCCAAGGUAACUCCUGUUACUGUUUUAUUAGUCAACACAUCAGCUCCGGCUGAGCUGAUGUGAUAGCCAUAACCCAACUCAGUAACUGGCUGGUCAUGCUUUUGUGCAAAUGCUUGGCUCAUGAAUGAAUGCGAUGAUCCAGAAUCAAACAAAACAACUGCAAGAUGUUGGUUGACAGGAAACAUACCAGCUGUUACUGGUUCUCCUUCCGGGAUCUCCUCGAUUGAGGUAUGGUGCACACGAGCUGGAUAGGUUGGCUGCUGCCUCUUGGGGUAGGUACAUUCCUUAGCAAAGUGCCCCAUCUUGUGGCAGUUAUAGCAUGGACCCUUGGGCGCAUUGUUGGCGGCAGGUGCCGCAGCUUGAAUUGCCUUUGGCUUGGCAGGAGCUAUUGCCACCUUGUACGGCUUCUACUGCGUUGGAUGCCCGGUGUUCCUUCUCUGUGGCGGUCGGAACCUAGCACCUGGGGCAGGAGGACGAUACUGUUGUCGCCCCGCCACUGGUGCCAUAGGCUGGGAUGAUCCGGCUUCAAAAGCCCUCUUACGUGACUUGGAUGCACUGUAGUUGUUGUUAUUGUUCUCCUGGGUCAGGCAGUCAUUGAUAUAGGCAUUGAAGGUAGCCCUAGCUCCUGUACCCAUGGUCUUUAGCAUCUUUGGAUUCAAUCCUCUCUAGAAACUAGCAAUCUUCUUGGCCUCCGUGUUCACAAACUCAGGGGCGUAGCGAGCGAGAUUGUUGAAAGCAUGUAGAUACUCCUUCACAGAUUUCGUCCCCUGGGACAGCCACAUGAAUUCCCCAACCUUCAUUUCAACCACACCCGGAGGAAUGUAAUUUCCCCAGAAAGCGGUGGUGAAGCGGUUCCAGGUGAUUGGGGUCACCUCUGGGUAGGUAGUACGAUGAUGGGACCACCAAAUUCCAACGGGUCCUUGCAACUGAUGUGCCGCAUACUCAGCCUUGAGUUCUUCUGUCAUCUGAAGAAGACGAAACUUCUUCUCCAUAGUGUUAAUCCACUCAUCAGCUUCAAGCGGUUCCAAAGCCUCCUUGAAGACUGGUGGCUUGGUAUCCAUGAAGUCCUUGAAAGAGCUGUACUGAUUGACUUCACCGCCGCCCUGGUUAUCCCCACGACGGGUGUUGUCAGCUAUGUUACGCAGAGCCUCUUCCAUGUUGCGCUGCAUCUGUUCCAUGUUGCGUUGGCUCCCCAAAAACUGCGCGAAAAACACGUCCGCAGUGUACGGAGGGGGCGGUGGUGGUGGUGUUGGUGCUCUGUCCUCAUCCCGUUGAGCCCCACCUCUGGACGUACCUGCUCCAAGACCCGGUUUGCUGUUACCCCCGCCACGUGUUUGCACCAUCUACAUACGUCAAUGAUAAGCAAUCGUUAGGAGUUGCCAUCAGCGGUAGAAAUGUGUAGAAUCAUGCCGUACUGAAUUUACUGAGGGAAUAAAUUCGCACAAUAAACAGAGGCACAACAAUUCAUCAUCUACGCACAACAUCACUAAUAGAUUACUUAACAUUCAAGCAAUAAGGUUCACGUACAUCCAAAUUUGCCAGCAUACAUACACUGGACUUUCAGUGUCAUCUCAUAAGUCUUACAUAGCCCAGAUCCAAAAGUACAAGACAUGCCAUGCAACAUACAACACAAAAGAAAAAGGACUAGCUCUAGAGCCCUAGCAUCUACUCGCUAUGGUCACUGUCCAUGCCGGAGCCAUCCUCGUCCUCAUCUCCACUAGCAGCUGCUCCUAUCUCGGGAUCCUCAUCCAUCUCGUCCUCAGAGUCUAGCUCAGCUGCUCCAGGCAGGUGGUGAGGGUGGAGCUAGUUAUGCAGCUGGUGGAUCUCCUCAUGCAAGUUCUCAUUGUACUCCUCAGCAUUAGCUAGCUGCUGCUCUAGCUCCAGCUGUCGGGCCCUCAGAGUGUCCUCCUCGUGCCAGGCUUCAUUCCUCUGACCAAGCACAUGGACUAGCAUGCGCUCGCAGUUCCUGUGAGCAGUAGUCACCCCAUCUCUCUGCUCUUGCACUGCAAGCAGGUCCUGGCUCAGCUCACUAUUCUGCUGGACUGCCUGGUCUCUCUCGGGUCACGUGGGCCAACUCCGCCUGUAGCCUCUCAACCUCAGAGUCGAACUCAGGCUACAACUGGCGCUUCUCAUCCUGGACGGUGAGAAGAGACCCGGACAAGCGACCCAAACAACGCUCUAGGGCUCCAUAGGUCUUCAUCAAAGCGUACAUGGCACUCAUAGCUGCGCUGUCACUGUGCUGGUCCUCAUCCGCACUCCUCUCUAGAGCGUUCACCUCGGACUGAUCCCACACCGAAGUGUAGGGGUCACCCCGGGGAAACACUCCAGCGAAGGCGUGGGCCAGCUCCUGUGGAAACCUCUCCAUGAGGUCCCUCAGAACUGCGAAAGCUGCCCUGCUGGCACCGUGGAAAGGCAUGGCACCUCGGGACUCAUACACCUAGCCGCCCCAGGCGGGGUCACCUCCACUAGUAGGAACAGUUGCCUCGAUCCCCACCAGGGUCUCGUCACCAAGCGGCUCCUUAUCCCAAUAGUAGCGAGGCUCCCUUCCUUCACGAUACCCCAUCGAGCUGAGCACUCUCCAAAGCAAAGUGGGCAUCCCAAACUCCUCCAGGAACUUGCUCUUAUGUCGCGAGCUCCUAGCUGCCAACAGAUGGCGAGGGGCCCGCCCACCAGUGGACUUGCGAGCGGUGAGCCUAGUGCGCGCCAUCUGCUGCAAAUGGAAUACCUUGGGUAAGAGCGAGGAUUAUCUUUAAUUAUUUUAUUUAGAAUUGGGACAGAUUAAAUUAAGGGGGAAAGUGAGCAAUGAUAUGAAAUGAACAUGAUGCAUGCACGAAGUUACGAUCCCACAAACUUAAGGAACACAAGUUAGCACUAAGCGAUAUAUGCGGUGGCACACAGCGUUCUCUCAUAACGUAACUAGCGCUCUAAGCGAGAACGUGGUUAGCAUACCUGUAGAAAACUCAUUUCAGCCCACCCACAGUAUGCUCAUGCAGAACAAGAAUUUUAAAACUAUACACCCCACAUACACAGACACCCGUCCAUGCAUAUGAUGUGUCACUACCCACAUCAUCGCCCUAAUGACGGCAUCGCCUCUCAGGACGUUAUUCCCAACAUGCGGUACUGUUCCCAAAACACACCAAAACAUGUGUGCAUGACACAGCACCUAACAACACUCCCCUAGACCGGCAGUGUAUCCGAUCAUGCUCUCACAGCUCCCACUUACCGCGGCGUAGAGGAAAAAUGGAUCCAUACAUUACCACUCAAAUGAAUGGUACUCAUACCAUUGCACGCCGUAUGAGCGACGAAAUAGAAAUAUGAUGCAUUAACCCCCAAGUCAGUACUUAACUAGCCACCUUAGAGUCCUUAACUGGGCAUAAAGGAUAUGACCAUGGCACACUAGAUAGUUUUCCAAAACUUAGUUUAACACCUUGAUCAUUAUUAAUUAAUAAAAUCUUUUAUUAAACCGGUUUAGAUUUAGUUUAGAACGUACUUAUGAACAGUAACUCGCUAAACCUUGCUCCGAUGCCAUCUGUAACAGAACCGACCAAAUUAUAAGAGAUUAAGCCUAACAGUGACCAUUUGCAUAGUCCAACCAUCGAGCUUAAGCCCAUAUAAACCCGGUAGUCUGUGAAACUCGAAGGAUUUCAAACCCAAUAUCGUAGAGACAGCCAAGAUCGUAAUAAGUUUAGCGGUCGCCAUCCACAGAUACAUCCAGAUUACAACAUUCAUAAAAUACAUCGGAGUUCUUAAAAUUAUUACAAACCAAGUUCUUCAAGUAGCGGAAGCUUCAUAGUUCGAAAUACAACACACACACUUAGUCUGAUACAGUACCAUAGUUCGUUCAUUCCCACAAAAGCAGAAGAGAAGAUGGAGUGACCAUCGCCCUUGGUCUAGUCAUCACCCAUGGCUGGGUACAGACAGAGGAUGCAAUAACCAUAGUACAUUUGACCAUCUGCAAAACAACAUGGGAGUAGAACCCUAAGUACGAGAAUGUACUCAGCUAGACUUACCCGUCAUAAACUUAAAAUAAAGACUCUUCAAGGAUCAUGAAGGCUAUAUAGUGGGGUAGCUGACAACCAUUUUGCAUAACCGCAGGAUUUUAUUACCAUAACCUACAUAAAUCUUUGUUCUUGUAAUUUGCUCAAGUUGAAAGUAUCAUUACCUAUUAUCUAGGUUUGCACCUGCAAUAUUAUAAGCAAGUAUAGUGAUAUGAUAGUACCUCAUCAUAGCAUUCUUAAAACCAUUUAUCAUUAUAACCCAAGUGUUCCAUAGUCCUUACUACGAGGACGAAGCUCAUGUCAAGUGCUCACUAUCCAGGAGCGAUGGCGAUUCGAAUCGAUUUCUAACCAGUUGGCGAGUUUAUUCCCCACACAAACCACACUCACUGAUCAAGUGAGCUACAGAUCACCGUAUUGCACUAUCCAGGACCAAUUCGCGGGUUCGACAGGCACCGCCCGUACCCGAGGACCGUUCCGGCGACCGAGGUAUCCAAGGUAUACCAAGGUUGCGCGUCGCGCCCUCGUCGUUCUCCUCAACCAUCACCAAUACAGAGCGUACAUCGGGCCGAUUCCGGCCCGGAUAGUGCUCAGGCUUCGCGGUCGGAACGACUUAUCCUUUCAGCUAAAUGUGGGGCAUGCGUUCAACAUGACAAGAGGGCCGUCAACGAUCGGUCCUUAAUCGACAUAGGCAGGGGCACUAUGGUCAACCCACCAUAAGACCCUGCCAGGUCUCCAAUUCCAUUCCGUACUUGGUUAUUCUUUUCCCCAAAGCAACCACUGCUUAAUCAGGCAGGUAUCCACCUAUAUCUCGCAGGUGACAGUGAAUCACCCUUCUACCAGACUAAGAAAGCUAAGCAUAGACUCCACGCCUAUCUACAUAGGACAAGGUAGAUAAACGAGUAGGGAUAACAAGGAGUACAUACGCAUCAAUGGUAUCAAGCUAUUCCUAUCACUUAAAUGCAAUAUAGUAGAACAAGCAUAUUAUAUCAUGUAAGUUAGCGAGAAUAGGGAGACUUAGAAUGCUCCGGGGCUUGCCUUUCUCAAACGUGCUGGGCCGGUGAUCCGGACACUCCUGUAGCUCCUCUCCGGGUUCCGGUGCUUCCGGAGGUUCCUGCUCCUGAAUCUCCUCUGGCCCCUCGGGUCCCACCUCGUUCUCCUACGAGCCUGUAUGAUGCAUGUGUGCUCAUGAGUGGAGUGCGAGAUGCCCGAGUGGAUGCUUCUAUGAGAAGGUACCAAAUGAUUAUGACAUGAUGCAUAGGUGAUUCACUUGGUCAUGCUCAUUACAAGGUAGUCAACAUCAUCCAAGAACAGACAAUUGAAUUAAAUAUCUAUUGCAUUCUCUUCUACCAAUUGUUUUCAAGUGUAACCAGCAACCCACAUGAUGCUUCAAAAAUACACCAAACCCCUUUUUAUUCUAUUUAACCCAUAUAUAACAAUUCAUAAUUUCCUUUAUUCAUUUCUAAGCCCAUCAAAAUUUGCAUGCAAUUCUGUUCAUCUAUAAUUUCCACAAAAAUUACAGGAGACUUCCAGUCAAGCAUAAAGUCUACUAUAAAUUUUUCAUAAUUUUUGGAUUCUCAUUUUGAGCUACAAAAGUCACAAGAUUAUUACAUAAAGGCAAGUACAAUUACUCUACUGUGGUAUAAGUGUCAAACAACAGAUUUCAUAUUUUUACAAUUGGUCUAAUAUUAUAGGAAAUAUCCACAAAAAUUUCUAUACUGAUUGCAUGAUCCAAAUCUUUAUUAAAAAUCAUAAACCACUGCCAUGCAAGCAUUUAAAUCAUUAUAAUUCUUAUAUACACCAAAUAAUUUGUACCAAUAUUUUCCCAGUGAGUUAACAUACAUGCAGAGCCAACAAAUCAAGUUUCACAUUUUUCUGAGCCAUAUUUUAAUUACUAUGCAUUUUCUAAGUUUAGCAAAAGCAUGGAUUAAUUAUUUCUGUCCAGAAAAAUGUUCAAACAUGACAUACAAUUACAUCAAACUGUAGAUCUGAAAAAUAUAGAGCACACCAAAAUUUAUUUCAUCAAAUUUGGAGCUGUAGAACUCAAGAUAUGGAUUUUACAAGUUUUAAAUCGAUUUCUAGAAAACCUUUUCUGAAAAUCAAUUCGAAAACAGGAUCAAAAACGCUAAAGACACCUAGUUCUACACCCAACGCGGUCCCCCUGUGACUGACAGUGGGCCUCUGACCCCACUGGUCAGCGAGACUGAGAGGGAGAGCACCUCCGACGAGCAGAUCUCGCCGGCUGUGAGGUUCCCGGCCACGGAGUGAGCACCAUCAUGCUCCCCGUAGCGAGGCGCACCCAGCGGUACCCUCGGGUUGGCCGGAGGAUGGCCGGAGCACCUCCGACGAGCAUGCAUGGCAGCACGGCGGCACUGCUCGCCGUGGCCAGGCUGCUCCGGUGCGGUAGAACAUGCGCAAGGGCUCCUCCGAGCUUCCCCGUCGCACUACGGAUCUAACGCGCCAAGAAGCAAGCGAAACGGGACAGAAACGAGCGAGGUUCGACGCGGCGGAGCUCUCCGGCGAGGUCGGAGCAACUCCGACGAGCGAUUCACGGCGUUCGACGGGCUCUCACCUCAGUAGAGCGUUCGCAGGAGCUUACCGCGACGACGGCGAGUGCGCUAGUGGUUUCGGCAUCGAGAUUGGGGCACUGGAGUGGCCGGCGGUGAGCAGCGGAGCUGCUCCGGCGAUGGCGCUGCGGCGGGGCUCCUACGGCUGCGGUUGCGCUCGCGAGUGGAGGGAGGAGGGAGAGAGGCGCGGGCGACACAGCGAAUGGAGUGGCCUGGGAGCCCGGGCCGGCGUCUCGACCAGGUGAAGCCGGUCGGCCGCGGCGCGCUCCUCGCCGGCGUACGGCCGCCACGUGGCCGACGCUGGCUGGGACGAGGCGGGCGUCCGCGCGCGGGACAGAGGGGGAGGGGGAGGCAGGCCGGGCCGCUGUCUGGGCCGAAAGGGAGGCGGGGUUGGCUCAGCAGCGCCUGCCCCUUUUGCAUUUUUUUUUGAAUUUCUUUUCUCAAAUUCUUUUCUAAAUUCAUUUGGACCAAUUUAAAAUCAUUUUCACCUCUUUCUCCCUAAAGCAAAGUUGUUCCAAAACAAAAACCCUACAACUUUGUUUUAAUAAGCAAUGCCAAAUUCCAAGUAGAAUUUGAAUUACCAAUUAAAACUAGUUCUAUGUUUUCAAAUAAAUUCAUUUUGGGGAUUUUGUAUAAAUUCCAUUCCUCAAAUUCUAUUGCUCCAAAAAUUGCACAAAAAUAUUUUUAAACCUUCUUACACAUAAAUCAACCUAGUUUGAAUAUUCCACAAUUUUAGAAGCAAGCAUCAUAUUUUUAACAUGUUUAAAGCACAUGUAAUAAAACACAUAAAAUCAUAUUUUGGGAUGAAUGGCAUGCUCAUGAUGCUAUGCUUGAUGAGAAUGCUUAUGCAUUGCUUUGGUAAGGCUAAGUGCAUGCUUAACACCUAGGGUGUUACAGACAUGGAAACAUAAAUACAAGGGAUGCAAUGCCACUCACCAACAACCUUCAGAUUGAGCUCUUUGAUGUCUGGGGAAUAGACUACAUGGGUCCAUUUCCUCCAUCAAAGAAGUGUGAGUACAUCUUGGUGGCAGUAGACUAUGUCUCCCAGUGGGUAGAGGCAUUACCUUGCAAGCAUGCCGACAACGUCAGUUCAAAGAGGAUGUUUGAAGAAAUUAUAUUUCCAAGAUUUGGAGUCCCCAGAGUAGUGAUAAGUGAUGGAGGAGCACACUUCAUCGACAAACGCUUCAAGCAAUAUCUAUCAAAACAUGGAAUCCAUCACAACGUCGCUACCCCCUAUCAUCCUCAAACAAGUGGCCAAGCAGAGACUUCCAACAAAUAAAUCAAGAAUAUUCUUCAGAAGACAGUAAGUGAAAUGGGAACAGCGUGGAAAGACAAGUUACCCAAUGCACUCUGGGCAUACCGGACAGCAUACAAGACCCCAAUUGGAAUGUCCCCAUACCAAUUGGUGUACGGGAAGACUUGCCAUCUACCUGUUGAACUAGAGUUCAAAGCACAUUGGGCCAUAAAGAGAUGUAAUAUGGACCUAGAUGUUGCUGGAGAUUAUAGAAGAAUGCAACUAUCAGAAUUGGAAAAAUGGCGAGAGAAAGCAUAUCACAAUUCAAAGAUCUACAAAGAAAGAGUCAAAAGGUGGCAUGACAAGAGAAUCAAGAAGGAGUUCACACCCGGAGAUAAGGUAUUACUUUUUAAUUCUAGGGUGAAGCUUUUCGGGCAUGAAAAACUCCGGAGCAAAUGGGAAGGACCAUUCAAGGUAAUUAAUUCGUCAUCCCACGGAGCUAUCAUACUUCAAAAUGACGAAGGUACGUUAUUCAAGGUAAAUGGUCAACGUCUUAAAUUAUUUUUAGAGCCCAAUAAAGAAUUAGAAGAAAUAGACGUAGUCCAUUUUUACCUUCCCAUGGAGAACUAGAGCCCGACCUUUUUAGUCUGAUGUUUAUGGGUCAUAUAUAUAUAUUUCUAAAUAAUUUCGCAUCUAGAAACACGCUGGGGAAAGUGGGCCCACAGAGGGGCCACAGAGAGGGCGGGCGCCUAGAUCAGGUGGGCGGGCGCCCAGCUCCUGUUCCCCCUCGGUCCCGAUUUUCUCUGUUAUGGAAAAUGCACUUAUGGUAAUUCGAAUAAUCCCUCGGAUGGAAAGUUUCGCACACACAUCGACGGAAGCAACCCGAACAACCCAUAGAGGCACUUUUUGACCCCUAUAUAAACAGACCCCUGACCUCAGUUUUCAAACACCAAGCCACCAAGCCUUCUCUCCUUCAAUUUGAGCUUGAUUAGUUCCUUGCUGCUCCAAUGUCCGAGAAGUACCACGAUGAUUGGGAAGUCGUCCCCUUCAACCACAACAUGGAGCCUGUGGAAGACCCCGAUGCCCGUGCUCUCGUCCCGGCCAACACAGUGCGACAGCUAGAAGCCAUGCCAUUACGCCAACGCAGCUCCGCCCAAUCCUAUCAUGCUCAACCAGUUCUCACCGCAGCGGCACAACCCUCUCCUCAAGGGAUCAUCAUCCAAGAUGAAGACCACCAUCAAGGUGCCAACCGGCAUGAGGAUCCUUCCACCUAGACCCAAUGAGAGGGUCGUUGGAGUCAAGACCAACCGGAGCGGCGAGAUCAGCAGUAUUCGCUACACUACGGAGGAGGAAAGGCCUUACUUUGAAGGGAUUAGAGCAGCCAAAGUCCGUUUCAUCCCUCCAAAGGCAGCCCCGAAGCACGCUCUCAAUGCUUUUGAGACACCUCCCAAGCGUCGCAAGACUAUAAUGGAUAUUGAUGAGGACGUUCGCAGACUAGACAGAAUUAUCAUAGACCUCCAGUCCUCGAUUAAUUCCCUCACUAGGCAGCUCCCUAACCACAACACCAUUAUACUAGGCCUUAGGUAGGAUCUUGCCAGUGCCAACAAGAAGAUUAGGGAAUUAGAGCGCCGCUAAGUUAUUUAGAUUAGACCUUGAGGCAAUGCAUCUUAGUUAUCUAUCUUUAAAUUCGUUUUAGGUUUACUAUUAUCAUCAGUUUGAUAUCAGUUUGCUACUAGUAUUUUUUUAAUAAAUGCCUCAAGAUUAAUAAAGAGUAUUAUUAUUAUUAUUAUUAUUAUGUCUUGUGUGUCUCUACUUUAUUUUUGUGCAAGAAAGCAGAAAACAAGUAUGGGGGAGAUCCCUCAACAUGCCAAACACACUCCGACUACACCACUCCAUGAUUCAGGUACACACUCUGUGUUGACACUUGCUAACACCACUUGAAUACUAGGUUGUCAUCCCCAGCAUGGCACUAGAGUGUACUAUGGUAUUUAUACGAACACAGAUAAUCCGCAAGCGCACGGAUACCGUUGAAGCUUUUACCCGGUUAAAGGUUUUAUCGUAUCCACAGGGAAACGGGAGAACUGAUCUACGCUCUAACUUAACCAAGAUAAGUAAAUAGGUGUGAAUAGGAAAGAUGGUAGAAUCGAAUAAGAACAAUAUUAAAGGUAAGAUAACAGUGAGUGAUAAUAUGGGAAUAGAGAGUAGAGCAAUUCUAGUAUAUGGGCGAUGGUAGCAGAAUAGAGAGGAUAACUAUGGUUUCUCUACUUCAAAGGGGUAUGUCUAUGUCUGGGACGAACCACGUGAUAAGAGUACACCACAAAGGAUGCUUAUCCAUAGGCCGAUAAACCCUACCCGUCCUGCUAACGAGAGGUGGACUACAGGGGACCAACGUAACUGUCACCUACGCGGCCUACCACAUGAUCCAGCUAGUCAGGGGAUAUCCACAAGUAAUCUAGGUCUAAGCACCACGCUUACACCUAUACUACAACACUAACCUAUAGGGUCCUAUAGAUUAGAAGUACUCAAAAGAGUUGUGAACCAGAACAUACAUGAUUAGUAAUUGCAUAAUGAAUUAGAAGUAGAUUACCAAAGUCAUCCCAUGAGCAAGCUUGAUUAGAGCUUGAUCAUGGCGAAGUACAACCGGAGGAAGAACCGACAGGCCGGCCUCUCCUCUAAUCCUCCUUCACUCUCCAUCUCGCUACUAUCUAGAUUUACUCUAGUUUAGAGAAGAGAGGAGAGCUCUCAUCUCUAAACCCUAGCUUUUGCUCUGUCUAUGAAUAAUGAAUAAUGAUCAAGGGGUGCCUCCUCCAGGGGCCAGGGGGUCUGGUUUUAUAGUCCCCUCAAGUGAACCUGGGCCGUCGGAUCAAACUGACAUUGAUUGAAUGGUUAUUCUUGAUCAUUUAGGUCGGUGGAGCAUAAUCCGCGAGAUUGAGCGUGAUUGGCCGAAAAAGGUGGGUGGGCGCCCUAAGGACUUGGGCGGGCACCCUGUCCCUGACUCCGUUCGGUCUCCGCUUCCUUCCCGUGGCUUCUGGAGUCUUCUAGAUGUAAGAUAAUUGCGUGACACGUUGAUAUCUCUAUGUAAUUCCGACGUGUGGGCCUUUCUUCCUUAUUUCCUGAUAACCCCCUGCAGAAAUAGACAAACACCAAAACUCGUGGAAUUCUGUCAGAUAAAACCCUAAGUCUCGAUGUUGAUUUCAUUUGGAUUCUUUUAUUUGUUUAUUUGAUAGUUAAAUUUGAUACUUAAGGACCGUCAACAAACUCCCCCAAGCUUACCUCUUGCUCGUCCCUGAGCAAGGAUAGACUCAGCUAUGGAUCAUAAGUUGUUGCACUAUCUUUAAAAAUUGACGGUACACAUGCUUUUAAAUGAGGUCUUAUCUCUGAGUUAGAGUAAACUGUCAAGACUUAAAACUUACUUACUUUACCUUUCACCAUGGGACUUGUAACCGUCACUUCUGUCUUGAGUGGUUAAAAGAUAGAACAGUCCAGUCAAGUGCCAUGUCGCUUAUUCUUGAUCAGCUAUAGCUCUGGAGUUUUUGUAGAUUUUCAAAUAAAACUCAGAGAUUCCUUUGUAUGACUUUCUCGUAUCUCUCUUUUGUGGUAUUUCUGGAUCCGUACCAAGGCAGUGAUGGUAUAUGCCUUCUCUCAAAAUAUGUGGUAUUUGUGGUAUAAGGGAUAGUGACAUUGUCUUCUCUCUCACCCUACUCUAAUAAGGCUUUAAUAUCUGGAGCUCAUAGGUUUGAGAUAAAAUAUACAUACAUACAAGACAUUUAUUGUAUAGUCAAACCAUGGAUCCAAAGAAACAAAUCAAUAAGCCAAAUCAAGAUGUGCAUGUGUGGCGAAUGAAUAGUGUAUGGUGAUGAUGGUGAUGAUGAUGAUAACAAUGGUGAAAGUCUAAUUCUACUUUUGCUCUUUUGAGGGGAUAUAUACCUUCCUUGCUUUUUGAAACUUUAUGAGGAGAAUGAGAUGCUCUUCUUUUUCUUUUCUCUCAG